UAUAUAAAACUAAGUCUACAACCAUCCAACAAAUUCUAUAUUUCUAUUUAUUAUUCAAGAUAACUGAAUUAACGAAUCAUGAAAAUUGGCCAGGGACGAAGAAAUAAAAAAAAAAAAAAACCCAACAACAUCAAGAAGUAUUUGAAUAAUUAAAAAAAAUAGUAUUGCAAAUUGCAUUUCACACCCAAAAUUUACUCUAAUUGCAAAUUGGCGACUUGCAUCCUAAUACUUCAAAAUUAGCAAAGUCCACUAGCAAAUGGUAUUUCUCAUAGCAAACUACAACAUGCAUUAAAUUCUUGUGAGAUUUUAAUCAAAAUUCAGUAUAUUGCGAUAGUUUCACUUUGAAAGAAAUUUUUAUGUUUUAUUGUAUAUUAUGGUUUUAAUUUCAUACUUUUACAUUAUUAUUAUUAUACUUAUAAGAUAGAUAUUUGUUUUUACUAAUUAUCAUAUUUUAUUCAUUUAUUAAUUAAAACUAAAAUUACAAUUUAAUAUUUUUUAUCUUUUUUUAAUUUUCAAAAUUAAUUCUAAGAAAAUAUAAUACUCCAAAAAUAAAAUUACAUUAUUUAUUUAUUUGUUUACUUGUUUAUUUAUAUUUUGUAGGAUGCAUCUACUUACUAUAGUCGAUUUUUUUUAUAUUCAAUUGUUGAUUAAAAAUCUCAUUGCAUUCUAAACGUAAGGUUCUAUAUUAUUUUAAAUAUAUUAACUACAUUAUUUAUAAAAAAAAUGAAACAAUUUGAAAAUAAUUAUCUCUAAAAAAGUGAAAUAUUUUUGGGAACUCUACAUACAGAUUUAAAACCUUUUAAAUUAGAAUGGUUAUUUGGGUCAUUUUUCACCGCUAAAAACUAUUUUGUACAACGCCUUAUUCUGUUUUAAUCUAUUUAACUUUCAUCAUCAAUGAUUUUUUAUUCUCUAAAAUAACAAUGUUCCACAUGUUUCGGUUUAAUUUCUUGUAAUAUAUUAUGUUACUUUAUGGAAAAUUGAGAUUUUUGAAUUAUUUCGUAUAUUACACUUGAAUCAAUAUUAAGUUUUUGAAAUUAUAUAUUUUUUACUGUACAGUAAAACACAUACAUAAAUCAUCACUUGUGUUUUGAAAUUUUUGAGAUUUUUGAAUUAUUUUGUACAUUACACUUGAAUUAAUAUUAAGUUUUUGAAAUUAUAUAUUUUUUUACUGUUCUAUAAAACACAUACAUAAAUCAUCAAUUGUGUUUUGAAAAUUUUAAUUCAAAUAAAAUAAUUAAAAAAUGUGAAGUAGAAAAUAAAAUAUAAACAAGAAAAGAUAUUUUUUUAAUGUUCAAAUAUUUUGCUAUAUUGAUUUUUUGGUUAAAGUCUCACAAAACAUUAUGUAGGGUGCAUGCAUUCUGCUAUGAUGUAUAUAAUUUGUGGGUGAACUUCGUUAAUUUUAAAAUUUUCGAGUUCAAAAUGUCAAUUAGUUUCAGUUUUGAUGUGCAAAACGCAAUUCACUCGACUAUAAGGAAGAAAUGCAUGAAUUAUAUACUUAGUUCCAAUAAAAUAAAUGCCAAAAACAUAACUGAGAAGCAAGUAAAUGUCAUUCAAAAUUUUGAUAACAACAAUGAUAUAUGAGUAAAAAUUGUAAUAAUUGAACGAAAAGAUAAGAAAAUAAAAGGGUCAUAAAUAUACAUAGGUAAAAUUGUACGAAAUUGUUUAUUUAUUUUACUAUUAAUUAAUAAAUAAUUAUGAAUUAUAUUCUAUUCCAAAUAAUUAUCAAUGUCACAAAAUAUUACUCUAAUAACAAUAUAACUAUCAUAUAUAGACUAUGGUAUACAAAAAAAAAAAAAAUUAAUACAACGCGUGCAACGCAGGCGCACCUUUCUAGUAUAUAUAUAUAUAUAUAUAUAUAUAUAUAGAGAGAGAGAUAUUGUUCUAACUUUCAUGAUUUUCAAUAAUUAAUAUUGAGUAAUAUUAAUUACAUUAUCUAAAGAUUAAUUUCAUUUAUUUACUUGAUCAUAAUCAUGAAGUAAAGUGAAUAAAAAUUGUCUUGAUUAAAUGGUUAAAGUUCAAAAGAUGAGCGCUCGAUGUGAUCGAGUGAUAGGACUAGUUUGGGUUUAGGUGUCCACAAAUAUUACUUUUGGGGACAUUUAGAUAUUAGUCAAAUUAGUUGACCCAAAAUCAAAAUAAUAAAAUAUUCGGCUCAAACCAAAUAUUUAAUUAUUUGGCCCAUGACCAAUUAAUUUUCCUACGUUUUGAAAUAUGUGAAAAGAAUGGACACAACCUUCUACUUCUUCUUCCAACCAUUGCAACCCUCUAUGAAUGGAUUGCUACCGCCUAUAAAUAAAGGCAGAAUCUGGCCAAUUCUAUACGGAAUAUAAUCGGCCAUGACGAGAUAGUUCUUCAUAAUCUUUUUUCCCUUCGUCAAAGUUUCGUUUGUUGUUCAAGUUCGCUGUUGGUCGAAUAUUCGUGCAAAUAUUUGACAACCGAUCGUUGUACAUUGGGAGACUACCGGGGAGAAACUGUGCACCGUUCACAACCCGGAAAUAUUGGCUUAAGGAAAUUGCCUUGGCAAGCCUCGAUCGUUCUUUGUGUUUUCACAACUCCUCUUCUCGACAAACAAGUAUUUUCGUUUGUUUAUGCAGAUUGUUAUAUAAAUAUAUAUAUAUAUAUAUAUAUAUAUAUAUAUAUAUAUAUAUAUAUAUAUAUAUAUAUAUAUAUAUAUAUAUACCAACAAUCUUAAGACAAUAUAAAGUUUUGUUUGUCCAAACUUUUGUUAAAAGUUUGAAUCUGGAAUCUGUGUUUCUAUUAAAAAUCAACAUGUGUUAUUAAAUUAUACGCAAAUGUUAAUAUUUGCGAACAAGUUGUUUAAAGGUAUGUUAUAAUCAUUUACUAUUUUAAUUAAGGGGAAAUGAGUGAUAACCCCCUAGUUUUGAAAAUAUAUAUAAGGAGGCUCAAAAAAUUUUUGUGCUCUAAUAAAAAACACAAGUUCUGAUCUUAAUUAGUGAGACCCCCCUAGACAACUUGAAGUACCUAUUUUACCCCUUUUAGUUUUAAUUCAAUAUAUGCCCUAACCCUUCUAAUCUUCUCUCUCCAACUCACUGUUGGAGUAGGUGACCAACAAGCCAACUUGUGGCUGUGGUCUUUCCUUUUAUCUUGUAAUAAAACAAUCGUUUUUCAUUCGUAAUAAUAAAACAUUUCAUUUGGCAUUCUAUAUCUGUUAUCCCAUGCAAGCAGCAUAGAUAAAGUCCUAACGAGUUACUCUAUUACUGUGAGUUGAUCUAGUAGAAUCGUGAGAUAACUCAACAAUGUAAUGUAACUGUUAAACCUUGUUCCUAGUCGAUGGGUUACGCCAAUAAUGAGGAUACCGGCCUUUCCCUUUUGAGACUAGCACUUAGUGUAUGUGUACUGCGUCUCAUCAGUCCUCGGUGUUGUGACAUCGGCAUACUUGAGUGGGUGCUCAUACUAGAUGAGUUCACUGAACUCCCUCGCCCUAGAAAUCUAUAAGUGGUUCUAAGAUAUAGUUGUACACCAUUAGUCCUUAAGACCCAGACAUCACCGUGACUUCACUAGAGGACCGAUUGUAUCGUGACCUGUCUCUGAGUCCCACCGCGGACCACUCCAAGGGCCAACGUUCGUGCAAUCCGAAAUCUAGUGUGAAGUCUGUGUAUUGUAGUAGGGGAUUCGAGCGCUUGAGUAGUCAUAGAUGUCCUGUGUGUUCUGACGGUUUAUAAUCCAUGGAAUCUCUGGCCAGAGUUGAUAGUGGGGUGAUUAGGGAAAUGUGUUUCCCUAAGUCGCACACGAACGGAUUUAUAAUACCUAGAACGUUCGCACGGUUAUUGAACUUUAUAAGAGGUCUCGGUGAACCAAUGCCUCUAGUUCAAUCGGGACAUGUGCUACGAAAGGAUCGUACUGUACGCUAACUAUAUCAUAAGGUUCUUGCAGGCACUUCACUUGUAUCUAGGGAAUCAUGAUGCGUAGUUGCUAGACGCCAAUCUUGAUUCGUUGGGCACCGAUUUGAUCGCGGAUUAGGUAAAAUGAGUUUUACUCUAAUCGGGACUCUUGGGAGGAGUUCGUAUAAGAACAAUGUGUUGUUCGAAUCACAAAGAGUUGUGAGCCCACGGCUAGCAUACACCUGAACCAUUGAGGGUCACACUUCUCGUGUAAUAUAGAUCCUUGAUAACAACAAGCAUAGAUUAAUGUGUUAAUCUUUGAACGAUUGGAUGUCGAUAUGGUUGAAUCCAAGAUUCGUAAUUGUGGAUUGCGAAUCGGAAUAAACGUAGAGAAAGAGAGACAUGCGGAAUUUAGUGAACUUUCUAAAUUGGGAAGUUUCCCGAUUUAGCAAGUCCACUGAAGUGGAAGUUUCCAAUUUUGGAAAUUGGAAAUUUCGAAGAGGCACUCGUAUCGAUGAGGACUUUGAGCUCGUCACAAAUAUAAUUUUGUUAUAAUUUUGUGAACGAUCGUUUAUUAUAAACGAGGCCGACGAGGGAAUGGGCUUAAUACAUCAGUGGGUCAAGCCCAAUGACUAAAACCCACUAGGGUUGAAAACCCUAAGUAUAAAUAGACCUCAAACAAGAGUUUGAGAUAAGAUUUUCAGCACCAAAAACCCUAGCCGCUCAGCCCCCUUCGGCCGUUGCUGCCCCGCCGUGCCACCGCCGACCACCGCCGGAAAACCGCCGGUUUUUCUCCUCUUUUUCCUUCGUUUUAUUCGUGUUGUUAUCUAACUCGUUUACAUCUAGUGCUGUAGUUCGAGUGGGUCGAAAAUACGAGGUGAAACCUAAUUGGAGAGGAGCUGCUGCCUCGACGAAUCCACGCACCGCCGCACGCGCCGCACCGCCGCUCACGCGCCGUCGCUGCCGCUGCCACGCGCCGCCGCUGGUGCUGCCAUUCAUCGCCGUUCGUUGCUUGCUGGAUCAGCUUGUUCCAGCCGUGAAUUGCAGCCCCGAGGAUUGGUAAUUUGCAGCUUGUACGUGAUUCGUUCUAGGUUUCGAUUCGUCGAAAUCUCACGCUACAACAGGUAAAUAAAUCGAAACUUUCGUAAAUUAAUUCGAGCAUGUUUGUAUGAGUUAUAAUUUAUUAUUAUGAGUAAUAUGUGAUUACAUGUUUCGAUUUCAUUGAAUGAUGAAUAAGCAUGUUUCGUGAUUUUCGGUUUUAUGUAUUUUUCAAUUAAAUCGAUAAUUACCAUAUGUAUGGCGGAAGCGUUAAGGUACGUUGACUAUGUGAUUAGUUUAUGCAUGUAAUCGAAAUUAGUUCGAUCUAAAAUUUUUAAAUUCCGCUGCGUAUACAUGCACGAUCCCCAACAGUGGUAUCAGAGCCACGGGUUAAUCGUUUAUUUGUCAACGUGUUUAUCGCUUUCGAAAGCAUGCUUCGAUUUGUUGAAUUGUUGAUUUUUUGGUGUUAUCAAAUUGGGUGGUUUAAUAUUAAUUAAAUAUUUUGAAUAUUUCAGAAAAUAUAAAAAAUUUAAUUUUGAAAAAUUCGAUUUUUUGCUGCUGUUUUUCAGCUGACCGAACCGGUCCGGUCGGACCGGUCUGACCGGUCUGGUCAGCAACAAAAAAAAAAAAAAAAAAUUGUUUUAUUGAUUUUCAGAGAUUAAUAUUAAAAUCAAUUGAUUUUUAAUUUUUGAAAUUAUUUAUCAAUUAAACCCAAUUAGAUAAUUGAUCCAUUAAUUUAAUUUGAAUUCAAAGAAUAGUAUUGGAUUAAUUAUUUAAUUUAAUUGUUAAAUUAGUUUAAUUAAUGGAACACAAAUUAAAUGGCAAAUAAUUAAUGGACUUCAUUCUUAUUUGAUUGAUUUAUGAAUGAAGGGAGUCCGUUAAUUAUAUUUCCAAUUAAUUGUAUUAAUUAAUUAAUUCAUGAGAUGAAUGAUUGUAAUUAAGUACGAUGAUGAUCGUAUGUCUCUCUUAGGAUCAAUAUGCGUUUCCACAUACCUAGAGAACAUAGUUGUAGGAAUCACAAACGAUCAUAACCUAAUACUUCCGAUGAGCUAAUAAGAUUUAAUAAAUAAGAUCCCUCAUUCUUAAUCAAGAAUAAUUAUCAAGCCAUAAAGAAAAACCAAAUUGUUGAAUUUUCCUUUCCUUCUACCAACAAUUAAAUUAUGUGUAGCCUCUCAUAAUAGUGCAGUAAGCCGUGUUAGCGGGGAGUGCUAUUGUGGGAUAAGCUGUAAUUUAAUUGACAUUAGAUGGAGAUACGGUCAUAGAUAAAAUUCUAUUGGAUUAAUGUGGUCGGCUAGAUUAACUAGGGAUUGCAUUAGUUUGAUAUAGUUGGAUCUAUGACAUCUCAUAUUGGUAGGCUAGACUUGACACACGAAGAUUUUGAUAGACGCUAGAUUAACUUAGGUCAUUAUCAAGUGUGAGGUAAAACAAACUUUAGGGUCACAUAGUGAUGUGAUUGAUAGUACUCUACCUUUAGGCUUAUGUAAUCGGGAUAGAUUAACUACGGGUUACAUUAGCGCUAUUGGACCUAAAGCCAAUUAAAGAAAAAUAAGUUUUCUCGAUUGUCUGCUAGAGGGUGGUGGAAUUCGAUAAAAUUAGUGGGAGAACAAUUAAAACAUAAAAGUCCAAAAUUUUAAUUGUAACGAUUAUUACGAACUAAACUCUAAUUAUUGUCUUCUUAAAAUUUUCUCAGCAACAAUGUCCAAACAUCCCCUUUCCUCAAUCCUCGACCAAAACAAACUCACCGGUCCAAACUAUUUGGAUUGGCUUCGCAAUCUGAAACUUGUGCUCCAAGUCGAGGAGCGUCUCUAUGUGCUCAAUGAACGUCCCCCCGCUGCUCUUCCUGCGACAGCUACUGCUGACGAGACUGCCACUUUCGAGGCAUGGAAGAAGGACGACCUCCAUGCGAGGUGCUACAUGCUAGCAUCAUUGGUGCCAGAGCUCGCGAGGAAGUAUGAGUCUCACGUGCAUGCUUACGAUAUCAAGCAUCAUCUUGAAAGCAUGUACAGUGAGAAUACUAGGGCAUCGAGGUACUCAGCUACCAAGGAGUUGAUCACCAUGAGGCUGCGUGAAGGGGCUUCGGUCCACGAGCACGGUCUCAAGAUGAUCACUCUCCUUGAGAAGCUGGUGAGCCUCGAUGUCACCCUCCUGGCCGAGCUCUCGGUGGAUUUGAUCCUACUGUCCCUUCCUAGUUCUUAUGAAUCGUUCAUAGUGAACUUCAACAUGAACAAGCUCGAUCCACCAUUGGAUGAGUUGUUGAACAUGUUGGUCAGCUAUGAGUCCACGAUCAAGAAGGAGAAAUCUGUUCUCCUAGUUGCUCCUUCUGCGAAGAAAUGUUCUUUACAGAAGAAAAGGAAAGAAAGGUGUUUCGGCCCGAGCAAGAAACUUGAGAAGGGCGAGUCGAGCGGAGUGAAGAAUGACAAGGUCACCAAGCAAGUUGAUGACGCUUGCCAUCAUUGUGGAAAGAAGGGCCAUUGGCGACGCAACUGCAAGGCUUACCUCGAUCAGAAACGUUCUGAAAAGGGUACGUAUUUAGUUGAAGUUAAUUUGUCCGUUAAAUCUUCUGCUUGGGUAUUGGAUACUGGUUGUGGCUCACAUCUUUGUAAUGAUUUGCAGCUCAUGACAAGAAGUAGGAAGCUUAAUGUGGGUGAGACCUACCUAAGAAUGGGCAACGGAGCAAGGGUUGCUGCUGAAGCCAUUGGGACGAUUUAUCUUUCUGUUUUGGAUUCUAGUUUUUCCAUUGUUUUGAACAAUUGUUUAUUUGUUCCGUCACUUAUUCGAAACCUUAUUUGUAUUCCUGUUUUGGAUAAUGAAGGUUUUACUUUUGUUUUUGGAAAUUCGAUUUGCAUUAUACAAAAGGAUCAAAAUGUGAUUUGUAAGGGACAACUCAUAAACAACUUAUAUGAACUAAAUCCAAAUGAAAUACCAAUUAACGUUAUAUCAGCAAAACGAAAAGAUAUAAGUCUUAACCCCGCACAACUUUGGCACGAUCGACUUGGUCACAUUUCCUUGAGAAGGAUGAACAAGUUUGUAAGUGAAGGAAUGUUCUCCUUGGAGGACGUGAAAUCACUUCAAACUUGUGUAUCCUGCCUUAAAGGAAAAAUGACCAAGACUCCCUUCAAAGGGAAGAUGGAACGAGCCGAGGGUCUUUUGGAUUUGAUCCAUUCAGACGUGUGUGGUCCACUAAGCGUUAGUGCUAGGGGUGGUUUUAACUACUUCGUUACCUUUACCGAUGAUUAUUCUAGGUAUGGUUUCGUGUACUUAAUGAAGUAUAAGUCUGAAACUUUUGAAAAGUUCAAAGAUUUUAGACACCAAGUAGAAAACCAACUCGGUAGACGUAUUAAAAAACUACGAUCCGAUGGUGGUGGCGAAUACUUAACUACUGAGUUUAUAGACUAUCUUAAAGAGAAUGGGAUUCUGUCUCAAUGGACUCCUCCUGGAACUCCUCAACUUAAUGGAGUUUCCGAACGUCGGAAUCGAACACUGUUAGACAUGGUUCGAUCUAUGAUGGGGUUCACCGAGCUACCGGCAUACCUGUGGGGUCAUGCACUCCUUACUCCCAUGUAUUUGCUGAAUAGGGUUAAUACCAAAGCAGUUAACUCCACACCUUAUGAACUUUGGCACUCCAAGAAACCCACGUUUAAACAUAUUAGGAUAUGGGGUUGUCCCGCUUACGUGAAGCGGCUAGUGGGAGAUAAGUUGGAUAGACAAUCCGACCUAUGCUAUUUUGUGGGGUAUCCCGAGAAUUCCAUGGGAUACGAAUUCUACUAUGUUUCCGAGGCAAAGGUGUUCGUCUCGAGAAAUGCCGUGUUCCUUGAGAAGGAAUUUCUAUCGGAUAGAAAGGGCAGUGUAGUUGAUCUCGAAGAAGUUCGAGAACCACAAUCUGAAGUUCAAGCACAACAAUCAGAUAAUGAACCAAUUCAACAAACCACUAAUAUACCUCCUGAACCGUCGCUGCGUUGAUCCGAAAGAGUUCGGAGAGCGCCCGAUAGGUUAUUCCUCGUUGAUGAAGUUGACCAAGGAUGUGAUCCUAGAACUUUCAACGAAGCUCUAUCGGAUACAGACAAGGGACAUUGGCUUAAUGCCAUGAAAUCCGAAAUGGACUCUAUGUACUCCAACAAGGUAUGGACCUUGGUAGAUCCACCCGAGGAAUUCGUUCCCAUAGGCUACAAGUGGAUCUAUAAGAAGAAAAUUGGAGUAGAUGGAAAGGUAUCAACCUACAAGGCUAGAUUGGUAGCGAAGGGUUAUACUCAAAAGCAAGGUGUUGACUAUGAGGAAACCUUCUCUCCAGUUGCUAUGCUUAAGUCCAUUAGGAUUUUGCUGGCCAUCUCUGCGUGGUAUGACUACGAGAUAUGGCAAAUGGAUGUGAAGACCGCUUUCCUUAAUGGGGACAUUGAGGAAGAAAUUUACAUGGCGCAGCCGGAAGGCUUCAUAUCUUCUGGAGAUGAGCAAAAGGUUUUCAAACUCCAGCGAUCCAUUUAUGGAUUAAAACAAGCAUCCCGUAGUUGGAAUAAAAGGUUCGACACAACUAUCAAAGAGUUUGAAUUUGUGAAAAACCCGGAGGAACCUUCUGUCUACAAGAAGGUUAGUGGGAGUGCAGUGACUUUCCUUGUACUUUAUGUUGAUGACAUACUACUCAUUGGGAAUGAUGUAGGGAUGUUAUAGUCAACUAAAGUAUGGUUAUCCACACGUUUCUCGAUGAAGGAUUUGGGAGAAGCAUCCUACGUAUUGGGAAUACGGAUCUAUAGAGAUAGAUCGAGGAGAUUACUUGGCUUGUCCCAAUCCAUGUACAUAGACACCGUUCUCAAACGAUUUAGCAUGGAAGAAUCCAAGAAGGGAUUCUUGCCAAUGUCCCAUGGGGUUCGUCUCUCGAAAUCCAUGCGUCCUCAAACGCAAAUGGAAAUCGAGGAGAUAAAAAGGACACCUUAUGCAUCCGCUAUAGGAAACAUAAUGUAUGGCAUGCUGUGUACACGACCUGAUAUUGCGUAUGCUGUGAGCGUCACAAGCAGAUAUCAGUCCGACCCCGGCCCAGCCCAUUGGAAGGCUGUGAAGGACAUUCUCAAGUACUUGCGAAGAACUCGAGAUUUGUUUUUGGUCUGUGGGGAUACCGAGUUGAAAUUAGAAGGCUUCACGGAUUCAAGUUUUCAAUCGGACGUGUAUGACUCGAAGUCAAACUCGGUGUAUAUAUUCAAAGUCAACGGGGGUGCUGUGUGUUGGAAGAGUUCCAAACAAGGCACGACGGCUGAUUCCACCACCGAGGCUGAAUAUAUUGCAGCAUCAGAUGCUUCAAAGGAAGGGUCAUGGAUUAGGAAAUUCAUCCAAGAGUUGGGUGUAUUUCCAAACGCUAGCGAUCCAGUACGGCUGUACUGCGUUAACAACGGAGCCGUAGCGCAAGCUAAGGAACCAAGAGCUCAUCAGAAGUCGAAGCACGUGUUGAGAAAAUACCAUGUGAUCCGAGAGACCAUAGAGAGAGGUGAAGUCAAGCUAGACAGAGUCACCUCGGAGGACAAUAUUGCAGAUCCCUUCACCAAGCCAUUGUCAGGAUCAGUCCACGAGAAACAUCGAGAGUCGAUGGGACUUAGAUUUAUGAGUAGUUGGCUUUAGGUCAAGUGGGAGAUUGUUGGAGUAGGUGACCAACAAGCCAACUUGUGGCUGUGGUCUUUCCUUUUAUCUUGUAAUAAAACAAUCGUUUUUCGUUCGUAAUAAUAAAACAUUUCAUUUGGCAUUCUAUAUCUGUUAUCCCAUGCAAGCAGCAUAGAUAUAGUCCUAACGAGUUACUCUAUUACUGUGAGUUGAUCUAGUAGAAUCGUGAGAUAACUCAGCAAUGUAAUGUAACUGUUAAACCUUGUUCCUAGUCGAUGGGUUACGCCAAUAAUGAGGAUACCGGCCUUUCCCUUUUGAGACUAGCACUUAGUGUAUGUGUACUGCGUCUCAUCAGUCCUCGGUGUUGUGACAUCGGCAUACUUGAGUGGGUGCUCAUACUAGAUGAGUUCACUGAACUCCCUCGCCCUAGAAAUCUAUAAGUGGUUCUCAUUCAUCGAGUAAUAGGUUUCUAAGAUAUAGUUGUACACCAUUAGUCCUUAAGACCCAGACAUCACCGUGACUUCACUAGAGGACCGAUUGUAUCGUGACCUGUCUCUGAGUCCCACCGCGGACCACUCCAAGGGCCAACGUUCGUGCAAUCCGAAAUCUAGUGUGAAGUCUGUGUAUUGUAGUAGGGGAUUCGAGCGCUUGAGUAGUCAUGGAUGUCCUGUGUGUUCUGACGGUUUAUAAUCCAUGGAAUCUCUGGCCAGAGUUGAUAGUGGGGUGAUUAGGGAAAUGUGUUUCUCUAAGUCGCACACGAACGGAUUUAUAAUACCUAGAACGUUCGCACGGUUAUUGAACUUUAUAAGAGGUCUCGGUGAACCAAUGCCUCUAGUUCAAUCGGGACAUGUGCUACGAAAGGAUCGUACUGUACGCUAACUAUAUCAUAAGGUUCUUGCAGUCACUUCACUUGUAUCUAGGGAAUCAUGAUGCGUAGUUGCUAGACGCCAAUCUUGAUUCGUUGGGCACCGAUUUGAUCGGGGAUUAGGUAAAAUGAGUUUUACUCUAAUCGGGACUCUUGGGAGGAGUUCGUAUAAGAACAAUGUGUUGUUCGAAUCACAAAGAGUUGUGAGCCCACGGCUAGCAUACACCUGAACCAUUGAGGGUCACACUUCUCGUGUAAUAUAGAUCCUUGAUAACAACAAACAUAGAUUAAUGUGUUAAUCUUUGAACGAUUGGAUGUCGAUAUGGUUGAAUCCAAGAUUCGUAAUUGUGGAUUGCGAAUCGGAAUAAACGUAGAGAAAGAGAGACAUGCGGAAUUUAGUGAACUUUCUAAAUUGGGAAGUUUCCCGAUUUAGCAAGUCCACUGAAGUGGAAGUUUCCAAUUUUGGAAAUUGGAAAUUUCGAAGAGGCACUCGUAUCGAUGAGGACUUUGAGCUCGUCACAAAUAUAAUUUUGUUAUAAUUUUGUGAACGAUCGUUUAUUAGAAACGAGGCCGACGAGGGAAUGGGCUUAAUACAUCAGUGGGUCAAGCCCAAUGACUUAAACCCACUAGGGUUGAAAACCCUAAGUAUAAAUAGACCUCAAACAAGAGUUUGGGAUCAGAUUUUCAGCACCAAAAACCCUAGCCGCUCAGCCCCCUUCGGCCGUUGCUGCCCCGCCGCGCCACCGCCGGAAAACCGCCGGUUUUUCUCCUCUUUUUCCUUCGUUUUAUUCGCGUUGUUAUCUAACUCGUUUACAUCUAGUGCUGUAGUUCGAGUGGGUCGAAAAUACGAGGUGAAACCUAAUUGGAGAGGAGCUGCUGCCCCGACGAAUCCACGCACCGCCGCACGCGCCGCACCGCCGCUCACGCGCCGUCGCUGCCGCUGCCACGCGCCGCCGCUGGUGUUGCCAUUCAUCGCCGUUCGUUGCUUGCUGGAUCAGCUUGUUCCAGCCGUGAAUUGCAGCCCCGAGGAUUGGUAAUUUGCAGCUUGUACGUGAUUCGUUCUAGGUUUCGAUUCGUUGAAAUCUCACGCUACAAGAGGUAAAUAAAUCAAAACUUUCGUAAAUUAAUUCGAGCAUGUUUGUAUGAGUUAUAAUUUAUGAUUAUGAGUAAUAUGUGAUUACAUGUUUCGAUUUCAUUGAAUGAUGAAUAAGCAUGUUUCGUGAUUUUCGGUUUUAUGUAUUUUUCAAUUAAAUCGAUAAUUACCAUAUGUAUGGCGGAAGCGUUGAGGUACGUUGACUAUGUGAUUAGUUUAUGCAUGUAAUCGAAAUUAGUUCGAUCUAAAAUUUUUAAAUUCCGCUGCGUAUACAUGCACGAUCCCCAACACUCACACCGCCGUUGUUUCCAUCUUUUCAUCUCUCCCUCGUUCUUACUCUCUCUCGCCAGAUCUGGCCAUCACUCGCCGGUGUUGCCUCCUCUCGCGGCGGCGAAAACUCUCCGGGGUUGCACUAUUUCCCCUUCCAAACCGCUCCACGUCUCGAAGGUCCAGUCACUUCUACUGACAGAGAGAAGAAGCGCGAUCUUCUCUGGUUACCUGCAAGGCGUACGAGGCCGAUGGAUCGGAGCCGAUUCUAGAAUCGUCGGAGGCGACGAGAAAACUGAAGAUCGGGAUUUACUUCACCACGUGGUAGAGCCUGAACGCGUACCCAUUUCCAUGGCUAACAUCGAUGCUCUCUUUGGCUGCUGGGUUUCUCCUCAUGCUAAUUUCAUGGACUCUCAGAAUCGCUGAAGUCCUGAAAAUCGAUCUCGAUUUCUGAAAACCAUUCUUCCGGUAAAACAAAACAGGGCUAAUUUGGUGAUUUUUCCGAUCUGUGAUUCUAAUUGGGUCUCAUUUUUUUUUCAUUAUUUUGUAUAUAUUUAAUCGAAAAAUUGAAUCGUUGAUUGUUUUUUAUGAUUUGUUUGGUUGAAUUUAAUUUUUAAGUUGCAGUGGCACAUACAAUCAUAUAGCGACUUCUGUGAGUAUGUCAUUCCUAAAUUGAGUUUUGAGGAAAAUACCUUCAUAAUCUUCUAGCAUGUAAUUGGUGUAUUGUUAACUGUUGUGAGUGUGUGAAAGUGAGCGUAUGUGUGUGUUGAAGAGAGUGGAUUGUGAGCCUUGACAUUUCUUUUAAUUAUUAAUAUUUAUGAAGUCAACCGUAUAUGAUUCAAUGGCAAAUGAAUUUGAUAGUAUUAGUAUUUUAUGUGUCACAGUUUUGAGCGGUCGGCGAGGAGCUUGCGGUGGCGCAGGUGUGGCUACGGGGAAGGGUUUCAUAGGGGCUGGAUUUUCUCCCUUUUUUCAUUUUUACGUUUUAUAUGGUUUGGGGUCGAACCGAGCCUGCUUUUAGUGUUCUAGUUUCGAGAUUCAUAUUGGGAUAGAUAGAUCGGAGUUGUUGUCGGGUUGAAAAAUGAGAUUUGAAGCUAUAAAUUCAAAUUAUACUAUAUAUGACUAUACUCAUAUAGUUAGUCAUAUGUAGUCAUAUUUAGUCACAUAUGGUCAUAUACAUGUAGUUAUAUAUAGUCACAUAUGGUCAUAUACUUGUAGUUAGUUAUAUAUAGUCACAUAUGGUCAUAUACAUGUAGUUAUAUAUAGUCACAUAUGGUCAUAUACAUGUAGUCAUAUAUAGUCACAUAUGGUCAUAUACAUGUAGUUAUAUAUAGUCACAUAUAGUCAUAUACAUGUAGUCAUAUAUAGUCACAUAUGGUCAUAUACAUGUAGUCAUAUAUAGUCACAUAUGGUCAUAUACAUGUAAUUAUAUAUAGUCACGUUUAGUAGCAUGUAAUUAUAUAUUUUUAUAUAAAAGAUAUGCAUUUUUUCUGAUGUAUACUGAUGCUGAUGUAUGAUUGUGUUUUUCGAUUUUUUUGUUGGGUACUAAUUGAUUUAUAAUAUCAAGAUUCAAAUUGUGAAUUUAUUUGUUGGUAUAAAUGAAUUUUUUUUUUAUAUAAUCAACGGGUUACAUAAUCGGUCGACCAUAAUGUUUGGGUAAAAAAACAGUACAUGACUACAUAUAACUAUACAUGACUGUCGUAUACGAUAGUCAUGUGUAGUCAAUUUCAAUACAAUAAAUUUAUAAAAAAAUUAAAAGAAAUUAAAACAAAUUAAAAAAUUAAAAAAUUAAAAAAAAAUUAAAAAAUUAAAAAAAAUUAAAAAACUAAAAAUAAAACAAAAUUAAAAAAUUAAAAAGUAAAAAACUAAAAAAAUUAAAAAAUUAAAAAAAGUAAUAAGAAAAAAUACAAGGGUAUAUAUAAAAAAUAAUAAUAAAAUAACCAUUUAUAUUUUUUUAAUAAAAAAGUCUGUAAAACUGAUAAAUGUAGGUCCAGAAUGCUAAAUGCAGUUGGGCAUUAUGCUGAAUGCAGGCCCAGAAUUCUUAAUGCAGUUGGUCAUAAUGCUGAAUGCAGGGGCGAAAUUACUGAUGCAGUUGGGCGAAAAUUUCACUUAAGGGCACAAUAGUACUUUUGCCUCUCCAGGGGUGUAUCUCAAAGGAAGAAUUUUAGGGGUGGACCUAUCCCUAUAUAUUUUCAAUUCUAGGGGUGUAUAUCAAAUGCACCCUUUAAUUAAUUGCUUAUGCCUUACUUAAACCUUUUGCGAAAGUUUAUUUCUAAUUUGAAAUCUGCAAAUUAUUUGAUUUACUAAUGUAUUUUUGUCCUCUUGUGAAGAGCUUUGUCAAUAAUUACAAAUUUUAUUAUUUUUGCAUUGAAUAGGUCAAUUUGCAUACGGGGCUACAACUCAUAUUAUCAGUUAAAUCAAUUUGGUUUGAUGUGACAAGUGUACGUACUGGUUUUUAAUUACAGCACUAAGGUAAAUUAGUAUAAUGGUUUAACGUAAUUUGUGUAAGAAGAUGUCACUUAAUUGUGCAGUAUAUUUAAGAAGAGUUACUAACUUAAUUGUGCAGUAUAUUUAAUUUGUGAAGAUGUCACUUAAGAAGAGUUACUAACUUCAUUGUGCAGUAUAUUUAAAAAGUGUAAAAGUGAAUUUCUGCUUCAAGUUACGAUUUUGCAUUAAAACAUUGCAAUAUAUAUUUGUGCUUCAUGCAACGAUAUUAUUUCUGAUUUACAAAGCUUCUUCUACAGUUUGUGUAUUUACAGUAGAAGUUAAAUCAAUUUAUAACUUUUAAGUAAUUUCUUGCAAAAUUGUAUUUAUAAAUUACUUGAGUUAUGAAUUUUUUCUAGUUUAAACAGUAGUAUUUUUAUUUUUAGACUUCUGUUUAAUUAUAUUGAACUAUUUGUGUAGAUGGCUUCAAUCAAUGAUAUCACUCCUAAGGUUGUCGGCGCGGCCGAAAAACCAAACAAGUUCAUGGGCACGGACUUUGCUACUUGGAAGAACAAAAUGUUCUUCUACCUUACUACCAUGAAUUUGGCUAAGUUUCUCAAUGAGGAGGCACCUAAGGCGAAGGAAUGAGAACUCCCGAAAAUAACAAGGAAGUCUUCCUAGCCAUUGAUGCGUGGAGUCACUCUGAUUUCCUAUGCCGUAACUACAUCUUGAAUUGCUUGGAAGAACCGUUGUACAAAGUUUAUAGUCCUAUAAAGACUGCUAAACUUUUGUGGGAUAGUUUGUCCACGAAAUACAAGUCUGAAGAUGCGGGUUAUAAGAAAUUUAUAGUGGAAAAAUUCCAAUUUUAUCGAAUGGUUGAUAGGAAAACUAUGAGUGAGCAUGUGAAUGAACUCUAACUCAUGAUCUACGAUAUUCUCGCCGAGGGUCAUGAGGUGAGUGAAUCUUAUCAAGUUGCUGCCAUAAUUGGAAAGCUUCCACCGAGUUGGACGGAGUUCAGACACUACCUAUAUGGCACAAGAAAUCGGUUGCCAAAUGGACGAUGGAGGAACUCAUAGCAAGGCUCAACACCAAGGAGGAUAGUAAAAUUACCGACAUGGGUGGUCAAUACGUAGCUAAGGCACACGUAGUGGAGAGCUCGAAGCAGAGCAACAAGAGAAAGGGUUCUACAUUUAACAAAUGACCAAAUAACAAGAAAAAUAAGAGGUUUACCAGAGCAUGCUUCGUUUGUGGAAUGAAUGAACACCUUGCAAAGGAUUGUCGCCACCGUAAAGAAAAUAAUAAAAAUGAAGCACAUGUCACCAAUGACUUAGCCGCUUCCGAGAAAGACAACAUGCACUUUUCAGCAAUUGUAACAGAGACCUAUCUAUUGAGUGAUACUCGAGGAUGGUGGGUAGAUACCAGUGCUACACGUCACAUUUGCUACGACAAGAGCAUGUUCUCCUCUUACAAAAGUUGGAACAAGAACAAAAACUCUUCAUGGGAAAUGAUGCUUAUUCGGUGGUUGAAUGACAAGGACAAGUGGUCCUAAAAUUCACUUCCGGGAAAGAUCUUACAUUGAACGAUGUGCUACAUGUUCCAAAGAUAUUAAGAAGAACUUAAUCAGUGGUUCUAUCCUAACCAAGAAAGGUUUCAAGUUGGCUUUUGAGUCGGACAAAUUAGUGCUAACCAAAGGAGGGUUGUAUGUAUGAAAGGGAUACCUAUGUGACGGUCUCUUUAAGGCGAACGUAGCCUUUAUCGAGAAGAACUAAGUUAUUAAAUAAUAUUAGUAAUAUUUAGUGCAUUUUGUUUUGUGAUAUGAUUUGUAAGAACUUAUUAUCUUUAUAAAAUGUCUUUACAUGUUAGGGUAUAUAAAAUAAAGAGUUUGAUUCUAAAAGGUUUUGACGAGUAAUGUUUUCAUUAAAAUUACCUUAUAUUUUUGUAAGUCUGCUUAUUGAUUUAAACUAUGAGUUGAAUUUAGGCAAAAUCAAUUAUUUGUUUAUACUUUAAAUAAGCACUCAUAUGAGGGGUGCUUGAUUUCUCUGAUUUGAAAACUUUUGUAAGUUAGCUCUUGAUUUAAACAGUGCAAUAUGAUUAUGUCCAAUCAAAUUGUGAGUAUUUUCUCAAUAAAAAUAAAGUUCUUAAAAUUUUGAGUUUAAUAAAAAGGAAACAAAUGAGUAUUGGUGAAAUACAAAAUAAGAAGAUAAAACACUUCUGAAAUCCGAUAGAGCGGAUAAUAUGAGUAACUUGUUUGUGUGCAAGAAAAAAUCAUUGCACCCUAUUCACAUCGAAUGGGGUAGUCAAAUGGAAAAAUUAGGAUUUAAAGACUCGAUUAAACUUGAGUUUACCGAACAACUUGUGGGGGAAGCUUCUUAUAUGUCUAAUGACAUAUUAAAUAGAGUUUAACACAAGAUGAACGUAUUUUAUGAGUUAUGGAAAUAUAUAAAAUUGAGUUAUAAAUAUCUCAAAAUGUUGGGGUAUUUGACUACAAGCUAAAUAUGUUCGUAUAUGUCCUUGAGGGAUAUAACGAGGCAAUAUAAUUAGGUAUUCGAUUUAAAAACAAUCAAUUAACAAUUUCUCUCAUGCUUUACUAUAGUAAGUCUCGACAUAUUCGUCGUAGACAUAUAACGCGAUACAUUUACUCUCCAAUGGAAUAAAUUUUCUUUGAUUUUGAGAAGUCCAAAGAUAACCUAACGGAUCUAUUUAAUAAGGUUUAUCUAGCAAGAAAGUUAAAUGUGCAUCGAGGGGAAUAAGUUUAAAGACAAAAUAACUAUGUUACCUUAUACGGAAACCUAACUUGGCGACUGGAGAGACCAUGGACCAAGUUCAAUAGGACAACCAGUUCUUUGUAACUUAAAUGAAUGGAGCACUUAAGAGUUUUAACUCCAUCUUAUUCCUAUGAUGCAAUAAGUGCAACCUACGACGUUCAAAAAGGUUAAGCUAUUGUUUUUUAUGACAUCUAUACUUGUAAAUUACAAGUAGGGUAUAGUAGAAUACUCUUUAUAGAUGCGGUCAUCUAUGUUAGUGUGAGCUGGGUCGGCUCGUUGAUAAUUCUAAAAGGCUGGAUAUCUCUAAAGCACUCGCAGAACCCGAGGAUGUUCAGGGCCAAAACAAACAGAACCGAGAACUUGAACAAGUUCGUUUAGUAUGGUGUUAAGUUUAUUGUCUUAGUUUACAAAGGAAUUUUGACAAAUAGAUCUUAUGCGAUAAGAUUGGAAGAACAAUUUUAUUCAUGUGGGGGAUGGGAUUGUUGGAACUUUGAUGAUUUUCAAUAAUUAAUAUUGAGUAAUAUUAAUUAAAUUAUGUAAAGAUUAAUUUCAUUUAUUUACUUGAUCAUAAUCAUGAAGUAAAGUGAAUGAAAAUUGUCUUGAUUAAAUGGUUAAAGUUAAAAAGAUGAGUGCUUGAUGUGAUCGAGUGAUAAGACUAGUUUGGGUUUAGGUGUCCACAAAUAUUACUUUUGGAACAUUUAGUAAUUACUCAAAUUAGUUGACCCAAAAUCAAAAUAAUAAAAUAUUUGGCUCAAGCCAAAUAUUUAAUUAAUUGGCCCAUGACCAAUUAAUUUUCCUACGUUUUGAACUCUGUGAAAAGAACAAACACAACCUUCUACUUCUUCUUCCAACCAUUGCAACCCUCUAUGAAUGGAUCUCUACAGCCUAUAAAUAAAGGCAUAAUCUGGCCAAUUAUGUACGGAAUUUAAUCGACAAUUACGAGAUAGUUCUUCAUAUUCUUUUUUGCCUUCGUCAAAGUUUCGUUUGUUGUUCAAGUUCGCCGUCGGUCGAAUAUUGGUGCAAAUAUUUGACAGCCGAUCGUUGUACCUUGGGAGACUACCGCGAAAAAAUUGUGCACCGUUGACAGCCCAGAAAUAUUGUCUUAAGAGAAUUGCCUCGGCAUGCCUCGAUCGUUCUUUGUGUUUUCAGAAUUCCUCUUUUCGACAAACAAGUACGUAUUUUCGUUCAUUUUCGCAGAUUGUUAUAUAUAUAUAUAUAUAUAUAUAUAUAUAUAUAUAUAUAUAUAUAUAUAUAUAUAUAUAUAUAUAUAUAUAUAUAUAUAUAUAUAUAUAUAUAUAUAUAUAUAUAUAUAUAUUACUAACAUACAUAUUUAUCAUUAUUAUAUGCUAAUCAUGAUUAAAAUUCGUAUAACGAUUUCACAUAAAAAUAUAAUCACAUGAUCAUGAGAUAUUAAAUUCGAGUAAAAUAAUUAACUAGUAGACAUAGAAUAUUUAAAUUGAUCACGUAAAUCACAUAAAUCAAUCUGGCACAUAAUAACCUAGUAAUUAAUUCUAGCACAUAAGAUAUUUAUAUUAAUCAUGUAUUCAAAAUUCCAAAUAAUUCUUACUUAAGGAUUUUUGGGUUAUGAAAAUUUAGUUUGGGACUAGGGUUUAUAGAAUGUGGGGUGUUACACGUUCCUUGCUCUGAUAUUAGAGUGGCUGCUUAGUGACUCGACUUUUUGUUUGUGUUCAUGAUUAUUUGAAUAAUAAUCGUAAGUAUAACAUUUUCCAAACAUGGGGAUGUAGCUCAAAUGGUAGAGCGCUCGCAUUGCAUGCGAGAGGCAAGGGGUUCGAUCCCCCGUCUCCAUUUGUAAUGUGAUUCUUUAUUUUCUCCAUCAAUUUGAUAUUUAUUUUCUUUUUAAUCACUCUCAAUUGCAGUUUGUAUUUUUAACCCUAUCAUUUUUACUGUUAAGCCACACAACCACCAUGUCCAAACUCAUCGCCUCUUUAAUCUCCUUCACCCCUCCCCGUCUUCCGCCGCUCAGCUGCCACUAAAAUAUCUUAAUUCAAGUCAUCUCCUUAUACCCACUGUUGGGGAUCUACAUGCAUACGUCCCUCGUCUUCCGCCGCGUAAUUCACCGUCAUCUCCUUAUACCCAUUGUUGGAGAUCUACAUGCAUACGUGACGGAAGUUUAAAAAAAUUCUAUAAUGCAUUCUAUGAAUGACAAAUUCAUCAAUAUAGGCAUAAUCAAUUAGCCUGCUUAGAUCACGUGUUUAAAUUAAAUUGAAAAACAUAUAGUAUGCAAAACAAUAUCAAAACAUAUUUAAUUUGUAACUAAAUAUGAAUAUUUGGUUAUUUACUCGUUGAAUGUUAGCUCCUUAAACGCUGUCUUGGUGGUCUCACCGAAGUCUGAUUUAUUCUAUGCUAUGUCUCGGUCGUCUCACAGGAAGUCCGGUUUAUUCUAUGAUACACUAGGUGAAUUAUACCGGGUAGAUAUUUACCAUUCAUAUACACACAAACACCCCCAUUAGUGUGUUUAGAUCAACGGUAAAAAAACAUCUGGUGUAGUCUUCACCGGGUGUAGCAUAGAGAUAACCCUGAAGUCAUUAGUCGAGCAAUUCCACGUCACUCUUCUUCGUGGGAAUUGAAUUUCACCUUGAAGAAAUUAAUUCACCAAUGGCUUGCAUUAGAAACUAUUGGGUAAAUUGGUGAAAGGAAAUGGAUGAAGAAAAACGAGGGAAAAUUAAUUUCCCGACGACAACCGCGGCGGCGGACGGUGGCAGGAGACGGCGGCGAAAAGGAGAAGGGGAGGGGCGGGCGGAAAGAAGAGAGAGAAAAGAACUUGUUCUCUUGUGUUGUGUGUGUCUCUCUCUACCCUAAGCCUCUUAUUUAUAGAGUUAUUUGAAUCGUAGGUGAAGUCUCCUACUUAACCUGGAAUUUGAAUAGCCCGAGCCCAUUAGGAAUCUUCUAGAAUUUCUAAUAAAUCAUAUUAUGAAUCUUAUAAAAUAACAAUUAUAUAUUCCUCCAGAUUAUAAUCUCCUCGUCAUUUCGAUUACCAUAUUGCAUUUUUCAAAUUUCCACUUUCGGGAAAAUCUAUUCUGUGGUACCUGCCAAAUUGAGAAAAUUUUCAAUUUAAAAAUUUCCCUUGAAAUCAAUAAAUUUCCUCGUAUUAAUCUAAUUCAUAAUCAACUAUUACAAAUUUUAGAUUCAAUCAUAUUGAACUCCGAUUUAGCUAAGAUCAACUAAUUAAUCUUAGUUCACCAUAUUAAGGAAUCUUCUCCACAAGAAGUGUGACCCUCAAUGGUUCAGGUGUAAGAUAGAUGUGAUUCGAAUAACUAUUUAUUCGAUUAUGGACUUGUCCCAAUUGUCCCGAUUAAGAUUAAAACAUAUGAUCGACGAUCAUAUCGGGGGCCGGCUAAAACAAAUAUAACUUACUUCUCACUUCAAUACCACAAACAUAAAAUAUAGAUAAUAAAUAUGUAAUGACAUUAAUACCCUUAAUAAAAUCAAUACCACACAAAUUUUUUGUGUGGUAUUGAUUUUCAUUAAGGUUAAUAAUAUCAUUAACUAUUUGUUUUUUUAUUUUUUAUGUUGGUGGUAUUGAAGUGAGAAAGAAAUGGUACUUGUUUUAGUCGCUUAUAUCGGUUAAUGCGCACCAAAUCAUGACUAAGGUCUAGCAACUACGUGUCAUGAUUUCCUAUAUCUAUCCUACCUUUAAAAGUGUGAAUGUUUUUAGUUUCUUAACUUUUUUGUAAUACCCAUUUUACCCUUGGUAUUAGUAAGUUAUAGUAUGUUCUACUUGUGGUUAAUUUUGUCAAAUGUUAUUGUUGUGUAAAUAAUGCAUUACGUAUUUGCUCUCCCAUUCAUUCUUAUUCCGGCCGAGUUGAGAUUAAUUAAGUAGUAAUUAAUGGAAUUGAUAAUUUUAAUUAAUAACUCCAAUCAAUAUACAUGCUCCCACCUAUUCCUAUUCCAAUUUAUUUACUUCUCUUUGUAUCAUGAAAGGUGUUGUGCUAUUCACCCUUAGACCACUACUAUACUCUGAAAAAUUCACUUUCGAAUGUAAGUUCACAUUUCCCCCUAACUUAUUUUCCUUAUUGAAUAUAUGUGCUUUUCUUCAUUAUAUUUCAUUAUGUAGAUUUAGUUCACCGCACAUCUAUUUUUUUACAUAAGUUGAUGAGAAAGUAACAAGUUUUUUCAUUGUCUGCAUUUUUUAACAGGAAACUACAAAUAUUGAAGUCCCUUACUAUGUGGACUUUUUAUAUUAUUUGAAUCUAUUCACCUAUCUCCUUUCAAUUAUGAAUAUACGUCUUUCAAUAAAGAUGUUUACGGGGAUAAGGUGAAUGUGUACUUGCUUAUUUGUUUAUAAUACAUAUAAGGCUGCGGCUAUAUGCAAGACUAAUUCCACUUGUGCAAGACCAAAUUAAAAUUUUCAAUGUAUAAAUACUAUAGUACCCUUACUUAUUAAAAAAAAUAGAAAAUUCCAAAUGUGCAAGACCAAAAAUUCAAAAACACAAAAAACCAGAUACAAGACCACAAAACCACAAGACAAACUCUCAUCUUCUCCAUCUUCCAAAACCCACAAGACCUUUCUCCCUCCUCAACCCAAGAAGCUAUGCAUUUAUCGAUUUGUUUAGCUAGAAUAUCGAUUUUCCAAAAAAAAUCCCGCACAAACGAAUUCCAUGUCGAAUUUUACAGGUAAAAAUCGACAUUUAGAUGUCGAUUUUGUGGUAUAAAAUUCGACAUUUGAAUUUGUACUAUAAAUUCGACAUGUCAAUGUCGAUUUUUACCUAUGCAAUUCGACGCUUAAGUGUCGAUUUGUAGCAUAGUUUUUCGACACCUUGGUGUCGAUUUUUACCAGUUUCAAAUUUAAAUUUUUUUUUUUUGGGCAGAUUUAGGUCACCCGUGAUUGUGCGUGGCGGGGCUGGAGGCGGCGGCGGAGCUUGAGCGGCGGAAAAGGUGGGCGUAGGUAGGGUUUCAGGGGGGGCUGUUUUUUUUUUUUUAAUUCACGCUUCUAUGUUUUUUUUUUCCUCAUUAUUUGUAUUUGGUCUUGCAUGACAAAAAAAAAAACCAAUUUAAUUUAUGGGCAUAUUUGUCAUUCCAUCUUAAUAAAAUAGAAUCUUUUGGGAUAUUUCUUUAAUUUGGUCUUGCACAAGUGGAAUGAGUAUUGCAUAUAGCCGCAGCCUACAUAUAUAAUUAUUUUGCUUUAGUUUUAUGUAAAUUUUAUUAAUUGAACAUGAAAUUAUGAAAAAUAUAACUCGAAGCCGAGAUUAAAUAUUGAGAGUAGAAGUCUCCAUUGAAUAGAAGUCUAAAUGAUCAUAUUCAAACUUCAAGAUUUGAGAUUUAAACAUAUUAAAAAUAAAUUCUCAUAUAUAAGAAAUAUGUCUAAAAAUAAGAAAAAAUAGUUGUGUUGUGUAUGAAUAAGAUUGAUUUUAAAUAUUGAGGUUAAAUAAAUUCUUAAAUUUUAUGUACUAUCAUUAUUUAUGUAUUUUAUUAAUAUAAGUGAUACCAUGAUUUAACCAUAAUCAAUUAUGUAAAAAGAAAAAAAAAACAUAAAAUCAUAAUAAGAAAAUAAAUGAUAAUGUAUAUUACUUAUUUUUUUAUAAUAUAAUUUUAAUGUCAAAGACCUGUUAGUAUACUAUAAAAUAUGUUAAAAGUUGUACCUUUUUUUUUGUUAUCGUAAUUAUUUUUAUACAAUAAGUUUCAACAAUUUUUUUUUUUUCAAAGUUACAUUUCAAGAGUUUUUCAUUAUCAUAAUAUUAUAAGUAUAUAUAUAAAUAGGGAAAAUUAGCAAUAACCCCCUCAUCUAGGAAAUGUAGUUAAGGAAACACCCCCUCCAAAAAAAAUUAGAAUAAACUCUUAGCUAAUAUUCCACCCAAAUGUUAUUUUAAUAAUUCUUAAACUACCCUUAUUUGAUUAUAACUAUUUUAACUCUAAUUAUAUAUCACCUUUUCCAAACCCGUUUUUUUGCCUCUGCCAUUUCUAUCGUUUCUCUUCUCAAUAUUCAAAUCUCAGAUUUCUCUAUCCCCCUUCACCACACCAUGACCUAAAUUACGAACAACUUCUGGAAAUCCACGGCAAAGACUAUGGCGACGAUGCGGCGAAGGAUCUUGCGCUUGCGAAAAUACUCCAAGUAGCGUUCCUUUACCCACAGUUUCUCGAUUUUGCGAAGAUUUCUUAUUCGUCGCCGUAGGUUAUGGAUUUUUAAUUUGAUUUUGCUGCCUCUUUUUGGAUAUGACGGUGGUCAUGAAGAAAAUUGGGUCUGGGUGGUUUUGUUUUGAUGGUUUUGAUGGUGGUGUUAUUGUUUGGGCUUGUGGUACGAGUUGUAAUUUACUUUAUUCGUCAUUAAAAACGGUCAGAUAAUGGAAGUGUGGUGUGGCGGCGGCGUGGUGACGACGAGGAGCAGAUCUAGGGUUUUUUGGUAGAUUAGGCGGAGCACGCGCGGGUAGAGAAAUUUGCGUAGGCUGGACCCUUAAUCGACUAUGUAUUUUUUCGGUAGUGGAUUAAGUUAAUCGACUAUGCUCUGGUAGUCGAUUAAAGUGUUAAUCGACUGUUUUGAUAGUCGACUAAGGUCACUGGAUUUUUUUUUUUUUUUUAAUUCAAGUUCUACUUAUUUGAUUUUAUUUAAAAAUAUAUUUUAUGUAAAAUAUAGUAUGUCACUGUUAUUAAUUAAUCAUAAGUUGUAUAUUAGGGUAAAUACAUUUAACCCUCUAUGGUUACAAUCUUUUGCCAUGACCCUCUUGUGCAUGCUUGUAAUAUCAGCACAUUACCCCCUUGUGGUUUAUGUGGUAGUUUCCGUCAGUUUUCUGUUAAUAAACUUAAUCGUAUGUGUCAAACUUCAAGGGGGUCAUCUGUAAACAUGAAAAAGAAAAUAAAAGCACGACGGGAUCAUCUGCAAAAUAAUACUAUGCCGUUUGACACAUGAUUAAGUUUGACGAGAAAACUAAUGGAAGUUAGCCUCAUAAACUACAAGGGAGUUAUGUGUUGAUAAUGCAAAUAUAAGGGGUCAUCUCCAAAAGCUUGUAACCUAGAGUUAAGUGUUAUUUACCCUAUAUAUAUUAAGUAAAAUCAUACGUAAUCACGUGCAACGCACGUGGUGCUUGCUAGUAUAAUUGAAAUGCAUGCAAGAACUUUAAAUUAUUGUUUGCGAAUAGUAUGGUUCCUUUGACUAGAUAUAUAUCCUGAUCAAACUAGAGGCUUUGGUUUACCAAGACCUUUAAUAUUAUUUGAUACGUGUGCGAACGUUCCAAAGCUAUAAAGUCCAUUCGUGUGUGACUUAGAGAAAACCUUUUCUCUAAUCACCACACUUCCUACUUCAGCAGAAGAUUCCUUCGACGAUAUACUUGAAGAACACACACGACAUCAGUGCAAUUAAGCAAGCAAUCAAAUCUCUAACUACAAUGCUCUAACUUCAAUUAGAUUUCGGACUGUGCGAACUUUGGCCCUUGGAGCGGUCUUUUAGGAGAUCCAGGGACAAGUCACAAGACAGCAGGUCUUCUAAUGAAGUAGCAAUAAUGUAUUAAUUCCUAAGAGCUAAUGGUGUACAACUAUAAUCAUAGAAUUUCUACUCGAUUAAUGGGAACCACUUAGAGAUUCUAGGACGAGAGAGUUCACUGAACUCAUCGACUAUGAGCACCCAUUUAUGUAUGUCAAUAUAUGUAUAUUGCAGCUGAUGAGACUCAGCUCACAUACACUAAGUACUAUUCCCGAACGGGAAAUGACGUUAUCCUAAUUAUUGGCGUAACCCAUCGACUAUGAACUGCUUAAUAGUUAUCUUACUAAGUGAAUCAUCUCAUGAUUCUCCUAGAUAUAGCUUGCCAAAAAUAGUUUAACACUAAUCACAAAAAUAUUGUUUACAAGUAAUUAUGGAAAGACCACAACCACAAGUUGGCUUUUUGGUCACCUACUCUAACAUCCACAACUUAUCCUACGAAAUAACCACAAUCGCCCGCCAAAACGUGGUUGUUUUUCUCCGGGAAUCAUCACCCCAUGCAUCCCUUCUCUCAGCCAUCGCUCGCCUCCACAUUCUUAAUCGGAAUUUGUACUCAUCUCAUUCGUUUAAAUCUGCCCUAAUUGCAACUACAUUUUUUCAUUAUUUGCUUCUUAAAUGUGGUUUAGCAAGACUGAAAGAAUGGCUAACAGAGAACAAGAAGAAGACCUCCAAAUUUCUCUUAGCUCCGGUUGAUGGAUCUCGCUACAUACUUCAAUCUGCCUAUCUCGUACUAAGUAAUUUUUUUCUCUUUUUUCCUUUUAAUUAUUUUGACAAUGGUUAUUCGUUCAGAAGUUAGUACUUAAUUUUUUUCUCUUUUUUUCCUUUUAAUUAUUUUGACAAUGGUUUUCCUUUUAAUUAUUCCCAUUUUUCCAGACAUUCAAACUUAUGUGUAUUCUUCAGUCUGUUAUUUUUUAAUCAAUUUGAUCUUAGUCAUAAUAACACAAAGAGAUUAGGAUCUAGUAUUCUAUGUCUUACAUGCUAAAAUGUAAAAUAUGAAGAAUUUGACAUUUCGUUAAAAUUUGAAUCACAAUUGUUCAACUUCUUAUGUAUUGCCGAAUCUGUGGCUACAUAGUAAAGCAAAGUAGUCGAGAAAAAACGGAUGAGUAAAAGACAAUGGAGAAAGCCGAAAAUUAUUCAGCAACUGUAUUUUCUCUCUAACGAGUUAGUUUUGUCAUCUGACUUUGGUAUACUAUCUUUUAGGUCUUCACAUUCCAUUUGGUUAUAAAAAAUGCAUCGUUUUUGCUUGAUGACAAAGAUCAAAUCAAGUAAGAAGUUGAAGCCAAGCUCCAUUAUCUCAUAAGGUAAUUUCCUGGUUGAUGUUGUUAUUGUUAGAGUGGGAGACCAACAAGUCAACUUGUGGGUGUGGUCUUUCAUUUAUUAUUAUAAGAAAUAAUUAUUUUUAAUAUUAAUGAUAAAACCCUUUUGGCGUUCGUUAUCUUUGUCCCUUACGCGAACAUAGAUGUAGUCCUUAUAGUUAUAUAUAUAUAUUUUCCAAUGCAAAUAUAUAUAUAUAUAUAUAUAUAUAUAUAUAUAUAUAUAUAUAUAUAUAUAUAUAUAUAUAUAUAUAUAGUCAACGGGUUACGCCACAAUGAGGAUAUCAAUAUUUCCCAUCUGAGACUAGCACUUAGUGUAUGUGUACUGCGUCUGAUACGAACCCCAUAGAACUUAUUACGAGACACUAACAUCUUACGCGAAAGCAAGAACGGAAAGUCCAAAGAAACAAUUCAAUUGGCAGAAUUCAGAAUAUUGACCCCGUAGAGAGUUAGAAACCAAUAUUAUCCGAGAUGAAAGUAUUGACCUAGUGAUUAUUAUGAAUCAAAAAUCAAUACUAUAGUUUAGAAUAGUUCACAAGAAUCCACUCGCAAAAUAUCCUGAAGAGUUGUUGAAGAGCAACCAAGGAGAAUUUUAAUCUCUCAAAUUAAUGCUUAAAAAUACGUUACAUUGAUUCAAGUCGACUUCCGAUCAUCCUUGUAACUCUCGUAGACAUUUGGUUAUGCAGGUGCAUGCACUUAAAGCUCAAUUUCGAUAAUGUUCCACUUAUAAUAUCUCUUCUCUUAAAACAUGAAACUUGUAGAUCUUUCAGUUAGCUUCCCUAAUCAUUUUGAAUCAUAUUAAAUGGAAUUCAUAUGAGCGAGUUAUAACUCGAAUGGUAAACUCUACCAGAAUCAUACAGGACUUUCGUAAUGCAUGAAAAUCAACAUGUGCAACGAAUUUUCCUUUUCCAUUUCUUCCAAUUCCAAACCAUUGACAUCUUAAAAAUUAGAUUCAAGCCUUUCUUCUCCAAGGAACACUUGAAUAGCCUCUUUAAACCCGUACGCUUGCGCUUUUUCCAAUUCUUCAUCUUUGAGCUUGCUAGGAUCGUAUCAUACUCCCCCUGUUUAAAAGGAUUCGUCCUCGAAUCCGGACAAAUAUAAGGAGCAUAAAUAAAUUCAGUCUCAUGAUUGAUCUCUAUCUUUGGCAGCAAACUAACACAUCUCUCAUUAGUAGAACCGCCAUCAUCCUCAUGGCACCAAUAAUGCAUAAUAUUUUUCCUUGGCAUUAUGUCACCAUCUUCUAUGGCUUGCAUUGAAAGAGUUUACAAUCCGGUUAGCUCAGCACUAUGCAUGGCUGGAUCAUAUCAUUCUUUACCCCUUCAAAAGGAUUCGCCCUCGAAUCCGAAUCUUCACUCUCUUCUUCUAGUGGUGGCGCAGGUUUGCAAUUUUCUUCCCAAUCGAACUCGACCUCAACAAUAUCUCUUACUUCUUCUUCAACUAACACAUCAUCACUUCCUAAAUCGGCUCUUUCUUUGGAUUUCUAUGGAGGAUCCAACGUGGCUUCUCUUGGUAUUGAUUCCCUAUCUCGGUUUGAUAAACAGCUCCACCGUGAUUUUCGACUCGGCGAUAUCCUUUCUUUUAACUCAGUAACGUAGGAUGAAUGAACUAAGUACUUACUUGAUCUAGGAUAAUCAUCUAACUUUUGCUCAUAAUAAUCGGAAUGACCUCAUCUUGGUCGAUCGAACUGAGCCCCUCGCCGCAUAUAAACAUCUCUUGGUGUUGCAGCUGUCACACCAUAUCUACCAUCACCAUAUACCUCAUUAUCACGAUGAGGUAUAACCCGGUUGGUGAACAUCACGUCGUACGUAUGGCCCUCGAAUAUGUUGAUCUUUGCAUAGUUUCUGUAGUUGGGUAGCAAUUCUUUCCAUCCGAUCUUGGAGUUCCUUAAAGCGUUUGUCCAUUGACGACAUCCUACGCUGCUCAAUUCUUUCUUGUUUAUAACCGGCCUUCUGAGACAUGAUCAAAACAUUUUUUUUUGACACUGAAAAACCCUAACAUAGACUCUAAGAAACUGAAAACAAAAAAAUAAAUUUGGUUUUCUUUUAUUUAUUUAUUUCCUUUUUUUUGGUAACUCGAAUGGUAAACUCUGCCACAAUCAUACGGGACUUUCGGGAUGCAUGAAAUUCGACUUGUCCAACGAAUUUUCCUGUUCAUUUUCUUCCAAUUCCAACCCAUUGACAUCUCAAACAUUCGAUUCAAGCCUUUCUUCCACAAUGAACACUUGAAUAACCUCUUUAAACUCGUACGCUUGCGCUUCUUCCAAUUCUUCAUCUUUGAGCUUGCUAGGAUCGUAUCAGCGUCUCAUCGAUAAUCGGUAUUGUGAUAUCGGCAUACAUAAGUGGGUGCUCAUAUAGAUUAGUUCACUGAACUCCCUCAUCCUAAAAAUCUCUAAGUGGUUCCUAAUUUCUAAAUGGGCCCAUGGCUAGGUUAUACCUGAACCAUCGAGGGUCACACUUCUUGUGUAAUUGAAUUUAUUGAAUAAAAGGUGAGAGAUUAAAUAUUAGUCUUUGUAUAAUUGGAAGUUAGUAUGAUUGAAUCCAAUAUUUGUAAUUUUGAAUUAUAAUUAAGAAUGAACAUAAAAAAGAAAUAGGCGAUAGCUUUAGUUGACUUUCUAACUUGGGAAGUUUCCCGAUUUAGCAAGAGCACUGAAUUAGGGUUUCCAAUUUAAGGAAUUAGAAACCGAGAAUUGGCACUCGUAUCGACGAGGACUUAAUAAUGAAUUUGAAAAUAUAAAUUUUAUAUUUGUUCGGUCAUUAAUUUGUGAGAAACGAGCAAAGAAAGACUAACGAGCUUAAGCUGUUGGGCCUAGUCCAACUUAAGCCUAUUAGGAUUUAUGUACAAGAUGUUAGAGUAGGUGACCAACAAGCCAACUUGUGGCUGUGGUCUUUUCAUUUAUUAUCGUAAUAAAUAAUAUUUUUUUCUUAUUAUUCAUAAAACACCUUGGCAUUAUAUAUAUAUUUGUCCCUUGUACAAGCAUAGAUAUAGUCCUUACAGUUAUUAUAGUUACUUAUAUUUGAUCUAUGAGGAUCAUGACAUAUUUACUUAAGUAUUAUAACUGUUAAACCGUGUUCCUUGUCAAACGGUUAUGCCACCAAUGAGGAUAUCGGUCUUUUCCAUUAAGAGAUUAGCACUUAGUGUAUGUGUAUUGUGUCUUAUCAGUAAACGGCAUUGUGAUAUCGGCAUACAUAAGUGGGUGCUCGUAAAUUGACUAGUUCACUGAACUCACUCAUCCUAGAAAUCUUGAAGUGGUUCUCAAUAAUCGAGUAGAGAUCUCUAUGAUAUAGUUGUACACCAUUAGUCCUUAAGACCUAAACAUCAACGUGACUUCACUUGAGGACCAGCUGUAUUGUGACAUGUCCCUGAGUUCCACCAAGGACCGCCCCAAGGGCCAGUGUUCGUGCCGUCCGAAAUAUAGUGGGAGAUCUAUGCAUUGUAGUCGGGGAUUCGAUCGCUAGAAUAGUCUUGGAUGUCUUGUGCGUUCUCAUAGUUUGUAAUCUUUAAGUCUGUGGCCAGAGAUGACUAAGUGAUGAUUAGAGAAUUUGAUUCUCUAUGUCAUGCACGUACAUAUUACAACACUUAGAACGAUCGCAUAGUUAUUGAACUAUAAAGGAGGUUUCGAUGAACCAAUGCCUCUAGUUCAAUCGGGACGUAUGAAUCGAAGGGAUCGUACUGUACGUUAACUAUGUCAGACGGCUCUUGCAAGCAGUUCAUUUGUAUCUAGGGAAUCAUGAUGCGUAGUUGCUAGACGCCAAUCUUGAUUCGUUGGGUGAUUAAGUUGAAACGAGCUUCAUCUUAAUUAUAACUCUAGGGACAAGUUUAAUCCACAAAGAGUUGUGGGCCCACGACUAGCUUACACCUAAACCAUCAGGGGUCACACUGGGUCACACUGCUCGUGUACUCGAGUUCUUUGAAUAAAGGGUAAAAGAUAAAAAUAUGUAAUCUUUGCAUAAUUGGAAAUCAAUACGAUUGAGUCUAACAUUCAUAAUUGGGAAUUAUGAGUGAGGAUAAGAAAAGGAAAGAACGAGGCGAUCAUCUUAGUGAACUUUCUAAAUUGGGAUGUUUCCAAAUUUAACCGGUCCACUGAAUUAGUAUUUCCAGUUUUAGAAAAUGGAAAUCGAGAAUUGGCAUUCGUAAUGACAAGGACAUUUCAAUGAUUCCAAAAAUAUAAUUGUUAUAUUUUCCAAUCAUUGGUUUAUGAGAAACGAGCAAAGAAAACUAACGAACUUAAGUUGUUGGGCCCGGUCUAACUUAAGCCCGUUAGGUCUUAUAUACAAGACACUAUAAAUACAAGAUUUAUAGGUCUUGUACACAAGUAAGAAACCCUAGCCAUUCUCCACCCACGUCUGCUGCCAUCUCCACCGCCACCGUCAUUGUCGUCGUCGCUCCGUUGUCGGAAAUCGGCGCCCAUGCGCCGCUUCUCCUCGGUUCUUGUUUCUUUUGUUUUAUUCUUCCGUUUAAUCUCACUUUUGCAUGUCUAGUGCCACGUAUUUUGUAGAACUCGAUAUACGAGGUUAAAUCCGAGAGGAAGAAGACAAAGAAGUUAGAUCACCGAGAAGCACUAGCCGAACAGCCACCGCACGUGCUCUCACGCGCCACCCAAAGACAACGCUUGAUUCACACGCGUCGCCGCUGCCCGUGCGUCCGUUGCCGGCGUUCCUCAUUGCUGCACGGUUUGGUUUCUGUGGCAGUUUGCAUCAAUCCGAUAAUUCGCCUCACGCUUCAAAAGGUAUUUUCGGAUCCGUUUUAAACUACGUUUAAUUUAAUAUGAUUAAAUUAAUUGUUGAUAUUUGCAGUAUGUUUUUCAUGAAUGUCGUUAUGUGAUUAUCAAUGUAUGAUUCAUGAUUUACUCGAAUUAAUUAUAUGCAUGCUGUGUUUUAAUUUCGUUGGAAGCAUUAAGGUACGCAAUUAGUUGCUAUUAUCGAGUACGUGUUUAUAUGAUUAAACUAGUUUUUCAUAUAUUGUUUUAUUAUUUUCCGCUGCGUACACCUGCCUUAGCCCCAACAGUGUACAAGACACUAUAAUACAAGUAUUAUAGGUCUUGCAAAAGAGUGAAAAAUCCCUAGCUGCUCCCUUCUCUCACCAACCCACGGCCGCCACCUCUCUGCACAAGUCCGCCGCAGCCACCGGUCGUCGCCUCUAGGCGCCUCAGUUGUCGAUUAGUAGUUUCUUUUUUUGUCUUUUGUUGCGUUUGUCGCCUAUAUGCAUGUUUGUUGAACGUAGAUUUAAUACCCAAUACGUUUACUUUAUGUGGAUCUUUUGUUUAGAUUUAGUUAUAUUUAUGCUUUAAUUGAUUGAUUUUGUGUUGUAUAGGUGAAAAACGAGAAAUAAGGGUCCAUGAAGGAAAAAAAACUCAAAAAGAAAGGAAAAAGUUGCAAUAAGGAAAUAAAUAAAAUUGGAAGAAGGAAUCUCGCCACAUCUUUGACAGUGUCAACCAUUUCAAGCAUAUCUCUCUCAUACGAACUCUAAAUCAGUUGAUAUUGGCGGCAUUGGAAAGAUAAUUUCAAGGGAUACAAUAUUUAUUUUACGCAUCAUUCCAUAAUUCAGGCUCCAACAUGGUCAAAAUCAAAGAACAAAUUAUGCUGGGGAAAAGUGGCGGACAUUGAUUCCUAUUAGGUUUCAACUACUUCCUUAUCAAGAAAAGCCUAUAAAAGCAACAAAUCUGUACACCAGAAGCACUAAAUUUUACACCACAAAAUGCGAAGAACGAAGAUCGAAGACUCAAUCAUAGUUUUUCUUCUUUCUUGUAUUAAUUCUAUUUGGUUUAUCAUAAGAAUUACGAGUAACUAAGCUUUUAGUUUCUAGGAUUUUAUUCGAACCCUAUGUGGGAUUUGUGAACCCAAUUUUAUGAUUUUAUGCAAGUAUUAAUUUUAUAUUAUUUAUUCUACUUGACUUAUUAAGUGCAUGAACUUGAUCAAUUUAUGUGCUUUGUUGUUAUUGUUGAAUGUAUGAAUCGGAAGAUCGGUUAAUAAUUAGAACUGUGGUAGAAGAGUCUUUAUGGUGUUAGGAUAGGAAUGUAGUUAAUAUUUUAGGUAGCCUUUAUUGAGAUUUGUGCUUCAUGUUGUGUUCUAGAACUAAUUGCGUAGGAAUACAUUAAUUGAAUCUAGAGUAUAAGAACUGUAAUACACGCGGAAGCAGGUUAUGAUUAAUUUUAGCAUCUCAGGUUAGUAAUCCGAUUUAAUAACUUGCAUACUUGAAGGAAUUGAGGAAUUAAUAAUCACAUAGGGGAGAGAAUAAAAUCCUAGGCUUGCUUUUUUCUGAAUAACCACCGUGCUUAAUCACUACCUUGUUCUUGUCUUUUUAAAUUACUUUAAUUUAGUUUAGUUUAAUUAUUAUCAACAUUCGACUGUGUACGGUGGGCUUGAGCAUAAUUGGUAGAAUGUAGCGUCUAUAAUUAGAUAAUUAUAUACUCUCGGCGGGAUCGAUACUUGGACUUAAAAUUCCAUUAUAUUACUUGUACGAUACGUGCACUUGCGUGUAGGUAUUACCACUAACAAGUUUUUGGCCCCGUUGCCGGGGAAUUUAAUAAAUUUUCUAUUUAUUGUGACUCUAGAUUUGAACAAUUCUCCCAAUUCACCCAAUUUUUUUUCUUAGUUUUAUUUUUAUUUUUAUUUUUUUUCUCUUUGGUUACAUGUCAGGUUACAAUUUCCAUGCACCUCAAACGGGAUAUGAAUGACUCCCGUCUGACAAAUACUUCCGUAAUACCUAUGAUAUGCCUCUAUUUUGUUCAACAUGUGGUGGAAAUCAUUACACUAACUAAUGUUGGGAAGCACCGAAAGCAAUUAAUUUCAGCAAUAAUACCAACAGAGGUUAUUCGAACACAUACACCAACACUUACGCACAAAGCGUUCUAAGCCAAGCUUUCAAUGAUUUUCAACAUCGAGAGCCGCAAUUUGAUGACUUUCAAACAUAUUAUGCAAGGCCACGAGAACCCACUAUUCAGGAGGUUAUUUAAAAUCCAUCAUUGAGUAAUUCAUGAAAUCCACUCAAGCUUCAAUCUGAAAACUGGAGAUACAGUUGGAAGAGAUCAAGUUCCAAAGGUCUCUUGAAAAUAUUCCAGACGAUCUCGAGAAUGGUUGUAGCAAAGAAAAUCUCUGUGAAACUUCUUGUGAGAAAAAUAUUUUAGACCUAUAAAAUAGUGUUCAUAAGAAUCAAAAUGAAUUUACAAAGAUGCUUAAGGAUGAUGCAACCGAGCUAAACUCCCAAGAUGUCUUAGUACAAGAGAAGAAGGAGAUUGAUGUGGUUAGUGCAAAUAUUAAAAUUUAGGCUAUUAUCAUUGCACGUAACGUAGCUUUGAAGGCAUCAAUUGAGGUUGAUGAAUUGGCGAACGAGUUUGAAGUGGAGAUUAUACGCAGACUUGAGAUUUUUGGAUACCGAUUUGAGGGAGCGGCUGUUGAACAUCCCAACUUGGCUUCAAACCGAUUGGCUACUACCAAAAAUGACUACAAGCUAAGGUGUACCCUGACAUAUUGCUGUCAUAUCCUUGUAUUGGUUGCAAUUGAAGUGAUAGAGCUCAUGGAUGGAUGCGCAAUAUACAAGGCUUUGGAUCGGACAUAACAGUUUUAAGAAGCAAAGUCUGGCUGAAUACUUAAAAUUUAGCACUGCUCGGGAGGCAACCCGAGCAUUUAUCGUUUUAUUUUCUUAUUUCUAGUUGUUUUUAUUUUUUUUCUUAGAAUUUAUAUAAUCUUGCAAUGUAAUAAUUUAAUCAUGUUUGAAUUUUCAGGUCGAAAAUUUGAGUGCUUGAUUGUUGUCUUUUAUGCAUGCAAUAAGCCGUGUUAUCGGAGAGUGCUAUUAUAGGGUCGGCUGUAAUUUAAGUAACAUAAAUGAUGAAGAUUCUCAUAGAAAUGGUUCUAUUAGAUUAACGUGAUCGGCUAGAUUAAAUAGGGGAGGCAUUAGUUUGAAAGAAUCAGUUCCAUGAUUGGUAGGUUAGACUUGACACGCAAGGUUUUAAAGUCGCGAAAUUAACUUAGUUCAUUAUCAAGUGUGAGGUAGAUAAAAUUUGGGGCCAUAUAAUGAUAUGAUUGAUAGUGAUCUACCUUUGAAAAAAUGUAAUCACUACAGAUUAACUACGGGUUACAUUUUUCUAUUCGACCUAACGCCCAUUACAGAAAAAUCAUUUUUCUCGUUUGUCUAUUAGAGGGUAGUGGAAUUCGCAAAACUUAGCGGAAGAAUCUCAAUCCUCGACCAAAAACUCAAUGGUCCUAACUAUCUCGAUCGGUACGUGUUCUGAAACUUGUGAUCACUGUUGAGGGGCGUCUCUAUGUGCUCUAUGAGAGGCAUCCUGCCUCUAUACCUGACACUGCGACUGAAGCUGAUAAAGCGACUUAUGAAGCUUGGAAGAAGGACGUCACUCAUGUAGGUGCUACAUGAUAGCAUCUAUGGAGCCCGCGCUUGCAAGGAAAUAUGAGUUUCACUUGCAUUAUUUCGACAUCAACUCUCAUCUUGAUAGCAUGUAUAAUGAGAAUACUAGAGCAUCAAGGUACGUAGUGAUAUGAAAUGGAUAAUAUUAACCCCUAAUUAUCUGCCUAUUAGAGUCACAGGGGUAAUUCUUCAAUACUUAGAGCACAAGUCCACACAAUUUAAAUUAAGUCUAGUUAUGUUCCUACUUUUUUGCCAUUUCCUUAGUUUUAGGUUGAUGAGUUGUAUUGCAGUUUAGUAUUGCAGUGUCUUGUGCGUAUAUAAAUGCACCAGCAAGUUGUGAAUAAGGAUAUGAUAUUUUCAAGCUACUCUUUUAUCUCCUUAUUACUAUGCUAAGUUCUAUCUUUUCCUUAUUUUUUUCUCAAAUUACCAUAUCAUUUGGUGUCAGAGCCGGGUUAAUCAUGGACACAUGAGGGAAAAUCAAUGCUGAAUUUUGCAACGAUGUGAAUGAAGAAUUGGCCCGACAUGAAUCCAGUUUUGAUCAGGUGAACACCACAUUGCAGGCGGUUUUGAUGGAACUCCAAGCCUUGAGAGUAACUCGAAACACCUGCCAAGUCCAACCCGAAAUCAACCCUUUUGCACCAGAAGGGUCCCACCGCUCGCACGCCGCUACCGGAAUCACUAAUUAUGAUCCACAACACCUCAAGCUGAAUUUUCCCCCAUUUAAUGGGGGGAGUACCUGUCUCGUGGAUAUAUAGGGUUGAGCAAUAUUUUGAAUUUCAGAAUAUUGCAGCUGAAACCCAAGUUCAGUUGGCCUCUUUCCACCUUGAAGGCAUUGCAUUGCAAUGGCACCGCUGGUUAAUCGAAUUCCGAGGACCCAUUUCUUGGAGUGACUUCACGAAAGCCGUUAUCCUUAGGUUUGGACAACCUGAAUACGAAGAUCCUUCCAAAGCAUUGUCACGCCAUAAACAAACCACUACAGUGGCUGCAUAUCAGGAGGUAUUUGAGAGACUCUCCCAUCAGGUUGACGAGUUACCAGAGCAAUUUCUAAUUAGCUGCUUUGUUUUCGGGCUAUGCGACGACAUUCACUAGAUGUAAAAAUUAAGAAACCACAAACAUUCGCCAAUUCCAUUAGAGUGGCAAGCCUGAUCGAGGAAUGCAAUCUCCUCCGAAGAAAAACAAUAAAUCCUAGCCGUCUUCCAAUAUCCGCCACAGUACCGAAAGCACCCAACACUUCCGCGGGAGUUCAUGGACCCUAUCCAAAUCACCGAUCCAUCAAUAACUCAAGUUUCUCCUUGGUACCUGUUUUUCGAAUCACAAAUCAAGAGGCUCGUGAAAGGAGGGAUAAAGGAUUAUGCUAUUAUUGCCACGAAAAAUACUUUCAGGGACAUCGGUGCUCACGACCCCAACUUUUCAUGAUCACAUAUAGAUUAGCGGAUGAAGAUGAAGCUUUAGACGAUAAUCAACAAGGUGUGAAGGCGAUUAACCGGAGAUAUCCUUUCAUGCCAUUUCCGGGGUUGAACACCCACAGACCAUCCGUGUUCUAGGUCGGAUUAAGGAACAAAGAUUCGGUUUUCUUGAGCGAUGGUGGCAUCACUCAUAAUUCAUUAAGCAAUCGGUAAUUUACGGGUCUGGGCUGCCAAUCAUAAAGGAAACAAAAAUUCAAGUGAUUCUGGCAAAUCAAGAAAAGAUCGAGUGCUUAAGGUAGUGUCAAGGACAUAUACUCACUAUCCAAGGAAUUUGUCAUGGACUAGUUUUUAACAUAAAUGAAUUCAAAAACAGAAAAAACAGAUAUUUGAUUCCAAGCUCAAAAAGUGAGCUGUAAGUUCAUACAAGAAAGGAAACCAUAAACAAAAGCCUUACAAAAGAUCAAAUUGCAGCUGCUAAAGGAUCUCUACAGCUACCUACCCUAACUACACUAGCUAGUCCAAACUUGGAGAGUAUUUCCCACACUUUCCACUUAUAUAGCUAGGGUUUACCAUAUUCGUAGGGUUUCAUGACACCCAUGCAGCCACAGCUCACAUGCUACUCACGAGCUGCUUCCAAGAGUAAUAAACGUUAAACAAUAACACGUUUUUAUAAGUAAAACGUGACUUUCUCAAAACGACGUAGUAUCGAAUUUAAAAACAAACCAAAUUUCCCUCCAUAAUCAGCCAUUCAUCACACUCAUUCCCCCUUAUUUCGCCAUGUCUCAUGGUUGAAAGUGUGGAUAUUCUUCAACAUUUCUUCUUCGUCCUCCCAUGUGGCUUCCUCAGUUGGCAGGUGUGCCCACUGCACUAACCAUUGCCCAACAGCCGCGUUCUUUCUCUUCACCUGUCUGUGUUCCAACACCUUCUCGGGCACCAACAUAAUCUGAUUCUUCUCAUCCAGUGGGGGCAAUUCCUCUACCACCCUCUCUGACUUUCCUACCCUUUUCUUCAGUUGUGAAACAUGGAAGAUAGGGUGGAGUUUGGUGUUCUCAGGUAAUUUUAGCUCAUAAGCAACCUCUCCAAUUCUCCUCAGGAUGAGAAAUGGCCCACAAUACUUGGGAGUUAGCUUCCACACUCUACUCUUCCUCAAACUGAGUUGCUUGUAGGGUUUCAGUUUUAGGUAAGCCCACUCCCCUUCUUCAAAAGUUCUCUCACUUCUGUGAGGAUCAACAAAUCUUUUCAUCAUCUCUUGAGCUUGCCUCAACAAUUCCUUCAAUCUUUGUAUAAUGGCUUGGUGCUCCUUGGUCCAAGUCUCCACUCCAACUAUUUUAGGCAUCAGGUGAGGGCCAUACCCCAUCUGAGGGGGUGCAUACCCAUAGAGAGCUUCAAAAGGAGCCCUCUGAAUGUGGAGUGGUAAGUGGUAUUGUACCACCAUUCAAUUAAGGAAAUCCAGUUGCUCCAAUCCUUAGGAUAGUGACCACACAUACACCUCAAGUAUGUCUCUAAGCAUUGGUUCACUCUUUCUAUUUGGCCAUCUGUUUGAGGAUGGUAAGCAGAGCUCAUUUGUUGCUGCACACCCAAGACCUUCAUAAGUUCGUGAAGAUGGGGUCCCUAUCAGAUACAAUUCUAGUAGGGAGCCCAUGCAAUUUAUACACUGUGUUAAUGAAGACUUUAGAUAGCAAAGAAGCUGUAAAGGGGUAACUGAGAGCAACAAAAUGCCUAUAUUUGGUCAAUUUGUCAACAACUACCCAUAUAACCUAUUUCCCUUUGGAAUUUGGCAACCCUACAAUAAAAUCCAUAGAGAUGCAUGUGUGACCAAGCUUGAUCCGGUAUGGGAAGAGGUUGCAGUAGGCCAGGAUUUCUCACAUUUUCAUGUUUGUUGAUCUGGCAAAUGUGGCAUUUCUUAACCACCUCCUCCAGUUGCAGCUUCAUUUGUGGCCGCCAGAAAGUAUUCUGGACCCUCUGUUAAGUGGAUUGAAUCCCUGAGUGCCCACCAAAGCUAGAGUUAUGUAUAAACUCUAUGAUUUUUCUCCUAAAAUCAAGAUUAGUCCCCACAAAUCCUUCCCUUGCAUCUCAGAAUUCCUUCACAAUACUCAAAGAAUGAAAUAUCCAUGGGGCGCAUGGUGCAUUCCACAAUGGUUUCUUCAACUUCUUUGUCAUUCAUGUAACUUUCUACCACUUCCUUCAUCCACAUUGGUUGGAGGAUGGUGACCUGUGCUAACUCUAGAGGCUAUCCCCUCCUUGAAAGUGCAUCUGCAGCUUUAUUUUCUACCCCAUUUUUGUACUCUAUAUUGUAACUGAACCCCAUUGGCUAGAUAUUUGUGUUGCAAGGGAGUAGAUAACUUUUGCUCCAAAAGGUGCUUAAGACUCUUUUGAUCUGUCCUAAUAGUAAAGGUUCCACAAAUCAAAUAGGACCUCCACUUCUGUACUGCUAGAAGGAUGGCUAAGAACUCGUUUUCAUAUAUGGACAAUCUAGCAUUCCUUGGCCCCAAUGCUUUGCUAAGGUAAGAAAUGGGGUGACCCUCUUGCAUAAGAACAACCCCAAUCCCAUGCUGGCAUGCAUCAGUCUCUACCACAAAGCCCUUACUGAAGUUGGGAACCUGCAGCACUCGUGUGUUGAUCAUGGCUUCUUUCAGUGCCUCAAAUGCCUUGUUAGCUUCCUCACUCCAGCAAAAUUGACCUUUCUUGAGUAGUGAUGUCAAAGGCCUAGCAAUGGUCCCAUAUCCUUUGAUAAAUUUCCUAUAAUAUCCUGUCAACCCCAAAAACCCCCUUAAUGCCUUAACUGUCCAUGGAUGUGGCCAUUCCUUAAUACUCUUAAUCUUCUCUUGGUCAACCCCCACUCCAUUUUCAUCAAUCACAUGCCCAAGGUACUCCACUUUCUUCUGAUUGAAGCUGCACUUAGAGGAUUUUGCAUAUAAUUGGUGCUGCCUCAACAGGUCCAUCACUAUCCUCAAGUGGUCCAAGUGCAUGGUUUCAUUUGCACUGUAAACCAAGAUAUCAUAAAAGAAUACUAGAACAAAUUCUCUCAACUGCCUCCUAAAUAUGUCAUUCAUGAGAUACUGGAAAGUUGCAGGGGCAUUAGUGAGUCCAAAUGGCAUAACGUUGAACUCAUAAUGCCCUGUAGAGGUCACAGAGGCAGUUUUUGAGAUAUCCUCAGAUUUGACCCUAAUCUGAUGAUAACCAUGCCCUCAAAUCAAUCUUAGAGAGCACCCUUGCUUUGCCCAAUUCAUACAGAAGAUCAUCAAUGAUGGGGAUAGGGUAGUUAUCCUUGACAGUGAUUGCAUUUAACCUUCUAUAACCCACACAAAACCUCAAACUCCCAUCCUUAUACUUGACUAGGAGGAUUGGGGAAGCAAAUGGGCUGGUGCUAGCUUAAAUUAUUCCAGUUUUCAGCAUCUCUUCGACCAUUCUUUCCACUUCUUUCCUCUGCAUAUAUGGAUAUCUGUAAGGUUGUGCUUUAAAAGGAGUAGCUCCCUCUUUUAAAGUGAUUGGGUGAUCAAUUUUUCUGUUAGGUGGCAAUUCCAUAGGCUCUUGGAAUAGGUCCUUGUACUCCAAUAGAAAUCCUUCUAUAUUAACAGUUUGGUUUUGAUCCAAAGUUUUCUCCUUUUGUUCUCCAUUCAUCAUGAAGAAGCAUCCCAACCCUACUUGCCCCUUUUUAAACAUUUUACUCAACAUUUGGCCAGUGAUCAUGCUGAUAGAGGCUUUCUGUUUAUCAACAUGGAUGGUUGUAUCCUUGAUUCCAUGUCUUAGUGUGAAAAAUUGAUUCACAUGGUCAAAUAACACUGGUCCAAAUUUCUGCAUGAAGUCCACUCCAAUCACUGCAUCACAUCCUCCCAGCUUGAGCAGUCUCAUUUCAAAUAUAAAGUGAUGCUUCCCCAUUUCCCACUGAAAUGUUGGGCAUUUAGAAUUACAAUCCAUUUGAUUCCCAUUGUCCAUAGUGACUAACAAAUUGCUGGUCUAUAUCACUUCACAUCCUAGUUUCCUUGUUGUCUGAGGAUCAAGAAAUUGUGAGUGCUCCAUAUGUCAAGAAGCAUUGUCAAGUAAUUGUUCUUGACCUUGCCUUCAACCUUCAAUGUGUUGGUAGUAGAUUGUCCAGUUAAUGCAGUAACAGAGAUGCCGAGAGUCUCUUCUUCCACCCCUUCUGGCACUUCCUCCAAUUGUUCCAAGCCCUUUCAUUCCUCUGACUCUUCUUCAAUUCCCACAAUGGUGAACACAUUAUUACACAUAUGCCCUGGAACAGACCUCUCAUCACAGUUGAAGAAUAAACCUCUCAUGUUUUAGUCUUCCAUCUCUGGUUUAGACAACAUUCUUAUGAUGUUUCCUUUGUGAUUGUGGUUAGAUGUGUUCCAAUUUCUGUUAGGACCACCUUGGUGAGUCUCCUUUCCCCCCUAUUGGCCAGGUUUGUAGCUUGCUUGAUAGUGUUUCUCAGCCCCAUUUUGAGAUGAUCCAAGGUGUUUUCAUACAUUUUAGCUAUCUGUAUAGCUUGUGCCAGAGACAUAGGUUUUGAGAGCUUUUACCAAACUCUUCAGUUCAUCCUUCACUCCUCCCAAAAAGGCUCUAAUAUAGUAGUCUUCCCCCAGAUUCCUAUGAUUCUGAGCCAUAAAAUCCUUGAGCUCUUCAACUUGUGCCUGAUAUCCUCUAUACUCCCAUCUUGCCUCAGUUUAUGGAACUGCUCCACCACAUCUACUCCAUCUUUAUCCAUAAAUCUCAUAAACCAUAUUGGAGAAUACAUUCCACCCCACAAACUCCAUUCCUUCCACAUAAUCCAUGUACCAAUACUCAGCCUUGCCCUCCAAAUUCAUAGCAACCAUCAUUACCCUCUCCACACAUGACAUAGGGUUUAGGACAAAGUAUCUGUUGCACCUCCUUAUCCAAGUUAUGGGGUCUUCUGCAUUGAAUCUGGGAAACUCACCCCUCUGUUGCCUUGUGUUGUUGCAGAUCUGCAUCUCUUGCCCUCUCUGCCCCAUGUUCUCAACUUCAAUUGGAUUUCUUCUAUUGUUGCCUUCAGCACAUCUGUCUGGUGUAUAGCCAGGCAUAAAAUGAUCUUGGUGAGGUGUGUAGAGUCUGUCAGUUUGGGAUGACUGUCCUACAACAUAGAACUGUUCUUUUCCUUUGUAAUUCUUGGUCAUAUCUUCCAGUAGCUUCUUUACUUGCUCCACAUUGAAGUUCAUAUUGGUCAUUUAUUCCUUUAAAGUCCUCAUGUCAGCUUGGUGUCUGGUAUCUAUCUCUCUUUGCUCCUCCUUGAACUGAUAUAGUGGUUUGUUGCAAUGGAUCCGUAGUUUCAUUCAUGUUUUUACUCAUUUUUAUGUGCCAGUGUGCCAGUGAAGUGGUUUAUGGUGCUGUGUUUAGUGAAUAUGAGGUGGGAUGUUCUUGAGGGAUAGUGAACAAGUGUUGUCCAGAACCAUGCUCUAGAUACCAAAUGUCAUAGACUAGCUUUUAACAUAAAAGAAUUCGAAAACAGAAAAAAAGGGAUAUUUGAUUCCAAGCUCCAAAAGUGAGCUGUAAGUUCAUACAGGAAAGGAAACCAUAGAUAAAAUCCUUACAAAAGAUCAAAUUGCAGCUGCUAAAGGAUCUCUACAGCUACCUACCCUAACAACACUAGCUAGUCCAAACUUGGAGAGUAUUUCCUCCACUUUCCACUUAUAUAGAUAGGGUUUACCAUAUUCGUAGGGUUUCAUGACAGGUUGAAUAUGGGAUUUAAUAUAGACUUGGAUUUCGUUUUUGGUCAGUAAUAGGACUAGACCUUGACUUUGUUGAUUAUUUUUUGUGCCUUGCUGUUGUUGGUUGUAAUACCUACACGCAAGUGCACGUAUCGUACAAGUAAUAUAAUGGAUCUUUAAGUCUAACUAUCGAUCCGAGAGAGAAUAUUUAAUUAUCUAAUCUAACAAUUAUUAUCAAGCCCACCCUACACAGUCGAAUGUCAAUUAACAAUUAAACUAAAUUAAAUUAAAACAAAUUAAACAAGCAAGAGCAAGAAAGCAAUUAAACACGAAGAUUAAUAAGAGAAAGCAAGCCUAGGAUUUUAUUUUUCCCUCUACGUGAUUAUUAAUUCCCCAAUUCCUUCAAUUAUGCAAGCUAUGAAAUCAGGUUACUAACAUGAGAUGCUAAAUUAAUCAUAACCCGCUUCCACGUGAAUUACGAUUCUAAUACUCUAAAUUCAAUUAUUGUAUUCCUACGCAAUUUAUUCUAGAACACAACAUGAAGCACAAAUCUCAAUAAUGGCUACCUAAGAGAUUAACUAUAUUCAUGUGUUAAUACCACAAAUGCUCUUCUACCUAAGUUCCAAUUAUUAACCCGAUCUUCUGAUUCAUGCGAUUAACAAUAACGGAAAAGCACAUAAAGUGGCCAGUUUCAUGCACUUAGUAAAACAAGUCGAAGAAAUAAUCCGGAAUUUAAAUUUGCAUAAAAUCAUGGAAAAGGAUUCAUAAAUCCCACAUAGGGUUAAAAAUAAAAUCCUAGAAAUACAAGGUUUAGCUACUCAUGAUUCAAGUAAAAAUGAAAUUAUGAUAAUUUAUGAAAGAUAAAACUAUGCUUGAACUUUUAGAAUUCUUCGUCUUCGUUAUUGCUUCUUUGCUCAUGAAAUUGUGUAAAAAAAAGGACCCCUAAUUGAGUGCUUGAGAUGGCUUUUAUAAGGUGGAAAAAAUUUGGGAAAAUGCAGUUUCCUUGUAACUUUUGGAAGUUUCUUUACUGCGCAGUCUUUCCUUGUCGGACGUUUGACUUCUCCAAUUUUGUUCACCUUUUCUUCUAAAUUGUGGUUUUAACCCACAACUUAUGCAAUUCUUCAAGUUGUGCCUGAAACACAAUGAAUCAAUUAAGCACCGAUUAUCAAUUAAAUACACUAAGAGCUCAAAUUAAAAGAUAUGAUUAAGUAUAAAAAUAUACACUUAACACCUGCCACAUAAUCAUCCAAAUAAUUUGGCGACGCCCUUGUUGCCUUGUACGUCUCAGUUAUAUUAGAAAACUGCCGAAAGUCUUACAUGGGCUCCGUGUCGUCUUGUAUUUACGCAGUCCCUUCCAUUUGAUAAAUUUUUGUGCGUUCAAUUGCAUACCUCGUCGUUGGCACUAACUAUAAAAAAAUUUACAAUUUUGUUCUUUUUUACAUUUCAACUAAUUUUAUUUCUCCAUUUAGUGAUGAUCACUAAUCCUUGAACUGUUACUUUAUUAUUAAUGUGAAAUCUAAAUACUAGUACAUCAACAACUUAUGAAGUAUAAGAAAAUAAAAUAAAAUUUGAAAUUAAGAGUAAUUUAUAUAAUAUAAUAUCGUAAAGUAAUAAAAUGUCAGUAAAUCAGAGUGGCGCAGUAGAAGAGUGGUGGGCCCAUAACCUACAGGUCCACGGAUCGAAACCAUGCUCUGAUAUAGGAGUGGCUUCUCGGUGAUUCAAUUUUGUUUUGCAUUCAUGAUUAUUUAAAUAAUAAUGGCUGGUGUAAUUUUUUUCCCAACAUGGGGAUAGAGCUCAAUUGGUAGAGCACUCGCUUUUCAUGCGAGAGGCAUGGGGUUCGAUCCCUUGCAUCUCCACCCGUAAAUAAUUCUUUAUUUUCUCCAUUAAUUUAAUAUUUAUUUUCUUUUUAAUGAUCUACAAUUGCAAUUCACAUUUUGAACCCCAUCAUCUUAACUUUUAAGCCACACAAUCACCAUGUCGAAGCUCAUCGCGUCUCUAAUCUCCUACACCUCCGCCCCGUCUUCCACCGCUCAGCCGUCUCCUUAUACCCACUAUUGGGGAUCUACAUGCAUAUGCAGCACAAGUUUAAAAAUAAUCUAUCAUGCUAUUUUUACGAACAACAAAUUUGUCAAUAUAGGCGUAAUCAAUUAGCAUGCUUAGAUAAUAUGUUCAAAUUAAAUUGAAAAAUAUAUGGCAUGUGAAUCAUAUAAUCAAAAAAAAUUAAUUCAUAUUUAAAUAACAAUAUUUGAUUACUUACUCAAUGAAAUUAAGUUCCUUAGAACGUUGUUUCAGUGGUCUCACCGAAUUCCUUAGUCGAGCAAUUCCACGCCAAUCUUUUUGCCUAUAAUUAGAUUUCACCUUGAAGAAAUUUAUCCACCAAUAGAUUGCACUAGAAAACUAUUGGGUAAAUUGGUAUAGGAAACAAAAGAUGAAAAAUGAGGGAAAGAAGAACAAUCGCGGCGGCGCAUGGUGGCGGGCCGACGGCGGCGAAAAGGAGAGGGGUAGGGGUGGCCAAAGAGAAGAGAUAGAGCAGAGCUUGUUCUCUUGUUGUGUGUGUUUAUCUCAACCCUAAGCCUCUUAUUUAUAGAUUUAUUUGACUUUAAGGUCAAGUCUCCUGCUUAACCUAAAAUUCAAAUAGCUCAAGCCCAUUACGAAUAUUCUAGAACUCAUUCUUAGAUUUAUAAUUACUCUUAUACCACAACUUUGAAAAAUAUAACAGUUAUAUAUUCUUGAAGAAUAUAAUCUUCUCGUCAUUUCGAUUACCAUAUUACAUUUUGUUGAUUUAUAUGCCUAUAGAAAUCAAUUAACCUAAGUUGUAACAACUAAGUAGUGGGAAUAGUAUUCAGUUACAACUAUAAUUCUUGUGUUAACACAGUUAUAAACUACUGAAAGCAAAUAAAUGAACACAAGAAAUUAAUGUGGUUCAGAUACAAAUGUGUCCUACAUCCACAUGGACCUGCAAACACGAUUUCACUAGUUCAGAUUUACAGUGUACAUUAAUAGGACUUAUUAAAAAUAAUAAAGACUCCCUCUUUUAUUUUUACGCCAUUCUGGUACACAACUCGAACUCCGUGUCUCUCUCUAUGGCAGCUCCACUCCGCGUGCCUUCAACUUUUUUCAAGCCUGAAUUUCCUUCAGAAACGUGGUUGAUCUCCCUGGAGAUCUAUACAACAACUCUAUAUUUGUUGGCACACACAACGAUGACACAUUCCUUCUCUGCAAAAUGCCUUAGCAAACCUUUGAUGCUAUGCAUUGGUUUUUCUUCCGAUAAAUGCGCAAAUUUUUUCAGCAUCUUGAGAGGCUUGUAUAGCCACGAAAAUAACCUCUAAGCCCUUACUUGAACCUAAAGAAAUCGAUUUCACUAGGUAAUAGAAUCCUAGUCAAUUUCUACUUCUAUUCUAGAUAAAUACAAGAGAUACCUAACUAGAAUAUAAUACAUAGAAAUAAAUCUAUAUCCUAAUAAAAGUAUUAUAAGAAUAGGACUCUAAUAAAUUCCAAAAAAAAAAAACCAUGGAAACUAAUCUUUGCCAAUCUUUUGAUUCCAAAGUAUGGCGGAUUUCUUCAAUCUUCACUAACAGAAAUCCGGCGCCAACAAUCUUUCCCUUUGGCAUAGAUUGGUCAGAAUCCAUGUUUAACAAUAACUCCCUCUGCAGACAUAACUAACUCCCCCCCCCCCCCUCCGCAUCACAGAUUGUCAGCAUAAUAAAAGUUGCAACAUGUUCAUGUUGUAACACAUCAAUGCCCUGCAACGCAAAGUUAUUCAAAAUAAGCCCCAAGGCACAUAUAUAGAAAUAACCAAGCCAAUAUCCAAAAGACUGGAAAAUAUUCCUAAUUAGAACAGUCCUAAAUAAAAAUAUAAAUUAAGGCAACCCAGAAAUGACAAACAAAAAACAAAAAAAAUGUUUUUUCAUGAAAUGUUCCUUUAAUAAUCAUAGUCGGAAAGCAGAUCCUGAUCAUGAGAACUGUUGGAGGCUUUGCCUUGUCACUGCGGUUGUGGACUACUGCUUCUUCAUAGAAGUUUUUCCCUUGCGUAUGGCAGUUUUUGCUGGGGCAUCUGGAGUUGUUGCUACUCCCCCUUUCUGACCAUAUUGUGCCAAAGUUGCAAAUUGUUCAUGCAUGGCUAGGAGAACAACUAUAAUGCUCACUCCGCGAUAGAGGAAACAUGAGUGUGCUUAGAAACAAAUUGGUGACCAUUCGAAGAGGAUGACUCAUCCUUAAGAAUAUACUUGCUCUCAAACUACCUUUGAGGUCGGCAAAGCUGCACAGGUGCGCUGAAAAUAGCCUCUUCAUCAAUUUCAACCAUAAUAUUGUCCACGGAAUCAUAGACAACACUUUAUUUUGAGUUUGGGGCUGGUGACUGAAUAGUGUGGCCGUGGGCUCCGGAUUUGUGGCCACGGGAGAGAUGGGAACUUCAAAGAGUACUAUUCUUGUCACAAACUUUGACAUUUUGCCAGAUUUCUUAUCGGACGGCGAUGCAGAGUGGUUUGUGCUUCCUCAUUUUUGACCCCUCAACCGAUUUGUCUCUUGCCAUAGUGAACCCGUGGAGCACGGAAAAGUGAAAAAUUAAGUAGCUUUCGAAAAACAUAGAGAGAGAUUGAGAGAUAACAUGAGUAGAUGAAAUAUUGAGAAACGCUAAGAACUCUAAAUACGAGUAUUUAAUGCACAACUUUUUGAACAAAAAUGGGACUUGUCAAGUUAACGAAAGAUAUAUUCAAAUAUGUUGACAGGAUAGAAUCAGAUCCCACAAACAUCAUGAUAAAACAGAAGUAUAUUCACACACGGUUCACAGGGAUUCGAUAUAGAUCACGUGUCAAGGCGGCCACGUGUCAACAGUUAGCCAGAGGCCAUAAUAAACUCAGAAACCCUAAAUCUCCAGAGAUUUGAAAAAUAAAUGGAAUAUGUGUAUAUAUAUAGGGAUAUUGCAGCAGUAUGUAAAAUCCAAGGUUUACAAGGAAAGAAAAUCAAGGAGGUCACAAGAGCAAAAAAGUAGAUCCCUUGUUUUCAAGAAUUAACCAAAAUAACUUAGAGCAAGACACGAUAGAAGUCCACCAACAUGCUCUUAGAUGCACGAUAUACCUAGAGCCCCAUGACCAUACUCAAUUAAUCAUAAAUAACUUAUUUUAAUGGGGCUAUAAAUGCAUAUGAGAUUAGCACAGCAAUUCCAUCGUGAACUUCAAGAAGAAUUUACUAAUAAAUACCUAAAAAACAUCCUAAAGAAUCACACCCUUGUUUUCUUCUGCUUUUCCUCUUUAUUUUUUAAUAUGUCAAAAUCCGUAGAUUUGGCAGACAAAUGGUCCUUUUUUUUCUUUGUGUGAUUUUAUGACAUGAAGUUCCACCAAAUAUUACGAGGGCAACCUGUUGGGAAUCGGACACAUGUAUGCAGUGGAAAACAAAAUUUUUAUGCGAUUUAAACAAAUUGAAAACACAUAAACACAUGCCCGAUAAUUGAAAACAAUUAAUUGCGGAUUGUGCUUCCAGCGAAAUUAAAAAACAACAUACAUGCUUAAUUACUUAAUCGAAAUUAAAUCAAUUAGCAUGCUUGUGUUAAAUCAAAUAACAUGCUCGCAGUAAAUAAACAAUUUCAUGUAGUCACAUAAAACCAUACAAUCACAUUACUAAAACGAACAUGUAUGUAUUAAUUUAAACGUAACCGAAUCGAAUGACAAUAUAUUCGACACAUUACCUCAUGAAGCGUGAAGUAGGCGCACUAAGCAAAGCUAGAUUGCCACGGAAACCAAUCUGUGCAAUCCGGGGCAGCAACGGCGAAUCAGCAGCGGCAAUAAUCCGAGCUACAGCGGUGCGUGUGAUUCACGCGCUGUCUUCGGGCGGCGCGUGGAGGCGCAUGCGUCGUCGGCUCGGGGCUGCUCCUCGAUUCUUCGAUCUUCCUCAUCUUGGAUUUCACCUCGUAUACUUCGAUCUACUAAAUACGUGGCACUAUACAAGUAAUAGUUAGAAAAACGGAAGAAUAGAAAGAAGGAAAGAAUUACCAAAAGGGAUCGGCCAAGGGGUGGCCGAUUCCGGCGAGUUGGUGGCGGCGACGCCGGUGGUGGCCGCGGGAGAAGAUGGCCGAGAGAGAGAGAGCGAGCAGCUAGGGUUAGGGUUUCGUGUGUUGUAUGUGUGCAAGACCUAUAAAUCAAGUAUUUAUAGUGUCUUGCAUAAAAGCCUUAACGGGCUAAAGUUGGACCGGGCCCAACAGCUUAAGUUCGUUAGUCUUUUAUUCGCUCGUUUUCUCAAUUCAAUGAUCGGAAAGUUGUAACGAUUACAUUUUCGGAAUCAUUAUAAUUCCCUCGUCAUUACGAGUGCCAACUCUCGAUUUCCAACUUUCCAAAAGUGGAAACCCUAAUUCAGUGCACUUUCUAAAUUUGGAAACUUCCCGAUUUUGUAAGUCCACUAAGAUGUUCGCCUAUUCUUUUCCUUUUUCUUAUUCUCAUUCAUAAUUCCAAAUUACGAAUGUUGGACCUAAUCAUAUUGACUUCCAAUCAUGCAAAGAUAAACCAUUUUAUCUCUGACCGUUUAUUCAAAGAUCUCAUGUGCACGAGCAGUGUGACCCUCGAUGGUUCAGGUGUAAGCUAGCCGUGGACCCACAACCCUUUUUGGUCAAAACUCGUCCCUUAGAGUUACGAUUAAGAUGAUGCUCGUUUCACCUUAAUCACCCAAUGAAUCAACAUUGGCGUCUAGCAACUACGCGUCCUGAUUACCUACCGCAUGGUAAGGGAAAGAGUUAUACAACUUACUUUAUACAGGUAAAAAGUAACUAAUAGGAUAAUGUAUAUAUAUUAAGGCUACCCGAGUAGCUGUCUAAUUCAAAUAACUAACGAAGUGAUUUCUAUUUUUUUUUUGUAUAUUCAUAUGUUAUUUGGACCCUCGAUUCGAUUCUCUUGCCGUAUGUGGUGUUGGCAAAGAGUUGGCAGUUAAUGAUACAAUAUCUUCAUUGUACAACUUGGAGCUGGGAAUCAAUGAUUGUCUCCAAAGUUUGAUCACUAUAAUUCCGGCAUAAAUGUUUGACCACAACCUUUUUGGAGAUGUAAACAAAUAAGUUGUAAAAAAGAUAUUAUUUUCGUAAUUAAUUUUACCAACAUUGCCGAUUAACAUUCUUGUUCAUUGUUUCGAGAGAUGGGAGACCAAACACAAUAUAAGUAGCCUGGACAUAUAUGACAGUACUGGACAUUAAUUCUCUAAGGUAAAAAACAUCGGUCAUGUAAUGAUAUAUGUACUCUGAAAUAAUAUUUACAGCUUUAAAAUACCAUGUUAAGGUAUCUGAUGUCUUGCCCCUUAUAUUUGAUCUUGUGAUGGAAUUAUAAACUUUAGGGUAAAUUACACACACCCCCCUGAGGUAAGCUUAAAUAACUGUAAGGUCCCUGUGGUAUCGAUAAUUACAUUCACCCCCCUGAAAGGUAGUUAAAAACUCUAACGGGAUAAUGCAUUGUAUACAUUAUUCCAAUAGGGUUCUAAUGGACUAUUACUUUUAGCUAGUUGUGGAGAUAACAUAGAGUUAUGGGGAGUUAUGGGGUGACAUGGCUCCCCCAAUAUUUUUUAAAUCACUCAUAACUCUUAGUUGUCUUCACCACUUCCUGAAACCA
rnacentral:lncRNA from 1 species